AAUCUUUAUCAAAUGAAAUUAAAGUUUAUUUUAAAACACAAACAACUAGUUCAUUGAAAUGAUAACUUGUUUAGUACACAAACAAGAUCUUACUUAAUACAUAGAAAUAAGAUCUUACGGAACAUAGAGAUUAAAAACAUAGGAACAACAUGAAAAGUUUUUAAAAUGACAUAGAUAUUGAUUAACAAAGAUAUGAACUAGUUUCGGGUAUUUUUUAACCAUCCAUCAAGGUAAACUUGUUUGGAGUCAGGGGUGGAUUUUGGUCUAAUAUCUUUCAACCAUCCAUCAAGGUAAACUUGGUUGGAAUCAGAGGAGGAUUUUGCUUUUUCAGCUCGAGUGUCUUUCAACCAACCAUCAAGAUAAACUUGUUUGGGAUCAGAGGUGGAUUUUGUUUUCUCUGCUCGAGUAUCUUUCAACCACCCAUCAAGGUAUACUUGGUUGGAGUCAGGGGUAGAUUUUGUUCUCUCGUUUCGAAUAUCUUUCAACCAUCCAUCAAGGUAAACUUGGUUGGAAUCAGAGGAGGAUUUUUCUUUUUCAGCUCGAGUGUCUUUCAACCAACCAUCAAGAUAAACUUGUUUGGGAUCAGAGGUGGAUUUUGUUUUCUCUACUCGGGUAUCUUUCAACCACCCAUCAAGGUAUACUUGGUUGGAGUUAGGGGUAGAUUUUGUUCUCUCGUUUCGAAUAUCUUUCAACCAUCCAUCAAGGUAAACUUGGUUGGAGUCAGAGGAGGAUUUUUCUUUUUCAGCUCGAGUGUCUUUCAACCAACCAUCAAGAUAAACUUGUUUGGGAUCAGAGGUGGAUUUUGUUUUCUCUACUCGGGUAUCUUUCAACCACCCAUCAAGGUAUACUUGGUUGGAGUCAGGGGUAGAUUUUGUUCUCUCGUUUCGAAUAUCUUUCAACCAUCCAUCAAGGUAAACUUGGUUGGAGUCAGAGGAGGAUUUUUCUUUUUCAGCUCGAGUGUCUUUCAACCAACCAUCAAGAUAAACUUGUUUGGGAUCAGAGGUGGAUUUUGUUUUCUCUACUCGGGUAUCUUUCAACCACCCAUCAAGGUAUACUUGGUUGGAGUCAGGGGUAGAUUUUGUUCUCUCGUUUCGAAUAUCUUUCAACCAUCCAUCAAGGUAAACUUGGUUGGAGUCAGACAUGGUUUUUGUUUGCUUUGCUCGAGUAUUUUUCAACCAUCCAUCAAGGUAAACUUGGUUGGAGUCAGAUGUAGAUUUUUCUUUCUCAGCUCGGGGAUCUUUUAACCAUCCAUCAAGAUAAACUUGUUUGGAGUCAGAGGUGGAUUUUGUUUUCUCUGCUCGGGUAUCUUUCAACCAUCCAUCAAGGUAAACUUGAUUGGAGUUAGGCAUGGACUUUUCUUUCUCGACUCUGAUAUUUUUCAACCAUCCAUCAAGAUAAACUUGGUUUGAGUCACUUGCAGGUUUUGUUUUCUCAACUCGGGUAUUUUUCAACCAUCCAUCAAGGUAAACUUGGUUGGAUUCAGAGGUGGAUUUUGCGUUCUCUGCUCUGGUAUCUUUCAACCAUCCAUCAAGGUAAACUUGGUUGGAGUUAGGUGUUGACUUUUCUUUCUCAGCUCUGAUAUCUUUCAACCAUCCAUCAAGAUAAACUUGGUUGGUGUCACCGGUAGAUUUUGCUUUCUCAGCUCGAUUAUCUUUCAACCAUCCAUCAAGGUAAACUUGGUUGGAUUCAGAGGUGUCUUUUGCUUUCUUUGCUCUGGAAUCUUUUAACCAUCCAUCAAGAUAAACUUGAUCAGAGUUCUGGGAGGAUUUGGUUUUCUCUGCUCGUGUAUCUUUCAACCAUCCAUCAAGAUAAACUUGGUUAGAGUUAGCAAUGUGUUUUUGACUCUUCAAUGGAUUUUUGAGCCAACCAUCAAGGUAAGGUUGAUCAACUUGUAUUUCUUGUACAUUCUCUUGCUGAAGUUUGAUAUAUCGGGCAAAGCUUCCUUGUCCAUUCUAUAAUACAAUUGAAUAAAUGGAUAUUAGUGAGUUAUUUUUGGAUGGUAUAUAUGAUUACAAAAACAAAAUAAUGUGUUUUAUAAGACACAUUAUGUUGCACAGGUGAGACACAUUCAUUAUAUAUUUCAGAUGGAUACAAAAUGUGAAAUAAAAAUGAAAGAAAAACAAUUUUUAAAAUUUCAUUGCGGCAUAGAAAACAUUAUUUUAUCAAAUCAAAUAGAACAACUUGAUUGUAAGUGAAUGAUGAAAUCAAAUCAAAUAAAGAUGAGAAAUGAUAGAUUGUGAUAAAUAAAUGAUGAAAAAUAUAAGUGUAAAAGAUACAAGAAUGGAUGCAAAGUUAGUAACUUACGAUCAACAAGAGCAUGAUAAAAGGGAGGAGAAACAAAACAUCUUUGUGUGUCAUUUCUUUAAUGUUAUGAUUUUGUGGGAAAAUUGUUUUAAUGUGAAAAGAUGUAUUGAAAUGGAAGUGAAUUGGGCUAUUUAUAAGUGAAUGAAAAGAAAAACUACAUUAAGGAUAUUAAGGACAUUGCGACUUUGGUUGGCAAGAUUAUUUUUUAAAUAUUUAAUUUAUUUUAUUUUUUAAAUGUUUAGUUUAAUUUAUAAGUUUAUAUGUCUAAGAAAGAUCAAUUUACUUUUUCCAAGAUCUAUUAGGUGUGUUGUUUUGAGUUAUAAAUAAAAAAUUCAAAAAAUUGUUUGUUUGGUAUCAUUUUUUUAAUUAGAAGCUCCUAACUAAAUUCUCCAGGUUUAAAAUAAAUAAAUUUUAGAAAAGCUACUGCAAUUAGUUUUUUAUUUUAAAAUUAAAAAUGAUUCUCUUAAAAACUUUAAUAAAAACCUAUUAAAAUGAUAAAGGUGAUUUUUUAAAUGUUAAACAAACAUUUAUUUUGAUAAGUUAUUUCAAAUAAUUUAAAAUUUCAUAAAUUUAUUUUAAUUUAUAAUUGAAGUGGUAAUUAUCAUAAUCUCGUCUCUUGAGUUCUAAUAUUUGAGCUAAUAGUAUAAAUAUUUUUUAGUUGAAUUAAAAUUUGCAUUAAUGAUAGUUUCAAUUUUACAAUUAAUUAAACUAAUUUAGUAGUUAAUUUUAUUAAGUGUAAUAAAUGCAAUGAAUUAAUUUAACUACAUCCCCUUUAAUUCGAGGUGGGUGUAGGUAUUCCGAGACAUUCAAAUUUGAAGACUAAUAUAUAGAUUAAAAUUAUUUAUUAAUUUAUUUAAUGGUAAUUACAUAUUACAAAAUUUCAUUUUUGGAAAAAAGUUAUUAUUUUAAUAUUUUAUAUUUUUUAAUAGUUAUUAUUUUAUAAAAUUAAUUAUAAUGAGUAUAAUAUUUUAAUUUUAUUAUCAUCAAAUAUACACGACAUCAAAAUUACCAAACAUGAAAUCUAAAUAUAGGGAUCCAAUUAAUUGAAUUGGAAUUUACAUUGUGAAUCAUGAGUCUUCUGCCACCAAUUCCUAGGGACUCACUACCUAGCAAACAAUGAAUACAAAAUAGUAUCACAAGAAACACUAAAAUACUGUGUUGACCCUUGCAUGUUUAAGAUGUUCACAUGUAGCUAGGGUUUGGGUGGUUAUGUAGUUAUGCUUACCUAAUAGUAAGACUGUGUUGACCUUUGCAUGUUUAAGAUGUUCACAUGUAGCUAGGGUUUGCGUGGUUAUGUAGUUAUGCUUAUCUAAUAGUAAGUUAAAAAAUUGUAGUUAUCUAAAAAGUAAUAAAUUAUUAUAUUGACCGGUCUAAAGAGAAGAUAGAUAAGUUANGUAGUUAAUUUUAUUAAGUGUAAUAAAUGCAAUGAAUUAAUUUAACUACAUCCCCUUUAAUUCGAGGUGGGUGUAGGUAUUCAGAGACAUUCAAAUUUGAAGACUAAUAUAUAGAUUAAAAUUAUUUAUGUUCGUCUUAUAUAUUUUUUUUUUAUAUUUUAAUAUAAAUAUUUAUUAAUUUAUUUAAUGGUAAUUAUAUAUUACAAAAUUUCAUUUUUGGAAAAAAGUUAUUAUUUUAAUAUUUUAUAUUUUUUAAUAAUUAUUAUUUUAUAAAAUUAAUUAUAAUGAGUAUAAUAUUUUAAUUUUAUUAUCAUCAAAUAUACACGACAUCAAAAUUACCAAACAUGAAAUCUAAAUAUAGGGAUCCAAUUAAUUGAAUUGGAAUUUACAUUGUGAAUCAUGAGUCUUCUGCCACCAAUUCCUAGGGACUCACUACCUAGCAAACAAUGAAUACAAAAUAGUAUCACAAGAAACACUAAAAUACUGUGUUGACCCUUGCAUGUUUAAGAUGUUCACAUGUAGCUAGGGUUUGGGUGGUUAUGUAGUUAUGCUUACCUAAUAGUAAGACUGUGUUGACCUUUGCAUGUUUAAGAUGUUCACAUGUAGCUAGGGUUUGCGUGGUUAUGUAGUUAUGCUUAUCUAAUAGUAAGUUAAAAAAUUGUAGUUAUCUAAAAAGUAAUAAAUUAUUAUAUUGACCGGUCUAAAGAGAAGAUAGAUAAGUUAUUAUAAUCAAAUAUUAUCUAAAAAACAAUAAAUUAUAAGGAAUAUAGUUUCAUUAUUUUUAUGUUUAUUUAAAAAAUAUAAAUAUUUUUUAAAUUAAUGAUAAAUAAUUGAUUUUAAAUGUGAUGAUGGUUUAUAUCUUUACAUAAGAAACUAAAUGAUAAAAUGUGAAUAUUCAUAUCUAACAUUAAAUAUUUAUCUAAAUAUGUAGGCCAGCCUCAUAUUUAUUGUAAAUUUUUUAACAAAGCUUUUAAUAAUGUAAAUUAGAAUAAUGUAGGCCAGCCUCUCUAUUUAUAUAAAAAAAAUAUUUUUUAAAAUAUUUUUAUAAUAAAAAUAUAAAAUUUGUCACAAAACAAUUUUAUUAUUUUAUUAACUAUAAAAAUAUAGGUUAUAAAUCACAUAUUUCAUUUAUAAUUCAUUAACCAGUAAAAUACGUAAUAUUAAUCAAAUUAUAAUAUUAAAAUAUGAAAUACACAAUUUGCUUAAUUAUUAAUUAUUAUAUUUUAUAUUUUAAUGUCAAAAUUUAUUGAUAUUAUUUAUUUUAUUAAUUGAAUACAGUAAUAAAUAAAAUAUAUGGUUAAUCACCUAUAUUUUUGUGAUUAAUAUAAUAAUAAAAUUAAUUAAUAACAAACUUUAUAUUUAUAUUAUAAAAAUAAUUAUAAAAAUAAAUCAAAAACGAGUUUAAGACAACAUAGGAAAAAGGGAGACUCGGAUAUCGUAUCUCAAAGACGGUUGAAUUAUUAUUAAUAUACUGGAAUCGAAUUGGGGGUUUAUAUUUGAUUCAUAAUAAAUGAUUAUGAAAAGUGAUUAUAAAAUAAGUUGAUUUAUUGAUUCGGUUCCUACCUACCAUUGAUUAUUAUAGCGCGAAUGAAAGUGUAAGAAUUAUGUUUCUUAUUUGCUGAAUUAAGCAAUCAGUUAAGAUUAAAGCGAAUUAACGGAUUAAGCAUACGUUAACACGCAAUCAAAAUUAGGGAACAAUAAAUAUUCAAAUCAAACAAAAUUACUAAGUUUGAAAUUGUACCUCAUUCAGGUCUUGGUUCAAGCAUCCCUAUGUGCAUCACAUUUAACUUUGCAUAGGCCAUGAACUCAAGUCUUUUGGUAUGGAAAAAUGCAUAGAUCCAUAUGCCCGAUUCACUUCAUUCAUAUGAUGCAGAUGAUCAAGGAUGAUUGAUCCAUUUAAGACUUAGUUCCAUUGGUUCAUUCUUUGUUGCUUAAGAAAUCUCAGGGUUUUACUAAGAAGAAAGAGGUCGAGACCAGUGUCGUGAUAGUAAAUAUCUACCCUCAAGUUCAAGCACCUAUGACUCAUGUGUCAUACUACCCUUAUCUGUACAUUGUCGCUGCUCAAUAUCAGCAACCUGCAUACCAACCGCAAUAUCAACAGCCUCCAUGGGCUCCAAUUUCUCAGAAUCAACAAAAUAGCAGAAACCAGAGUCUAGGUCAGGGCAGACGUUAUGAUAGAAAACGUCCUCAGCCUGACCAUAUCCCUGUAUCAUACACUCAGUUGUUGUCGUAUCUUGUCCAGUAAGGAGCAAUUGCGCCAAAAGAGAUUCCGCCUGCAACUCCUCCCUAAAAUCACAAGCAUAAUCCUAAUGUGUCUUGUGCAUUUCAUGUCGGAUACAUAGGGCAUUCUACAGAGGAUUGUUUGGUCCUCAAGACCAUAGUACAAGAGUUAAUUGAUCAUAAGGUUUUGUAAUUCUCUGAGGCAGGACCCAAUGUCAUAACCAACCUAUUGCCAGACCACUGUGGACAGAUAGUGAAUGCAGUUUAUGGCGAAGAUUCCUCAGAUUCAGUUGAUUCUUCAGAGAAGUACUGAUGCUAGCAAUAUCAUAUUGAUUCAAUCAUGUAUCAUUUGUAAUCUUUUCUUGUUUGUUAAUUGUUGUUCAUUUGUAAAACUUGUCUGGUUUUUCAGAUGAUAAUAAUAAUGAAAUAAGCGUGCAUGUUUUGCUUAAAUCCAUUCGUGUUCACUCAUAUUUUAUUUUAUCAGUAUCAAAUUGUUUGUCGAACAAAAUCAAAAGAGAAUGAUGAAAUUAAAAAUAUGCAAGAUCGCUGUUUGUAUGCUUUUGAAUAAGAUCAUGUUGAUGAUGCAAGGCAUUGUUCAAUCCCUAAACACCGGAGAUAUAAGGAAGAUAAUCCCUAGUCAACCCAUUUGGAUGUUGUAGUAGGAGUUUCUUUCUUUAACACAUAAAAUCCUCAUGCUUAACUAGGGGCAGGGUAUUCUUCAUUUAGUUUAGACUUGCAUUCAAAUUUCAGAAGGAGAAUAUCUCAUCCAGUGAUCAAUCAUAUCAUAUCCCUCUCAAGAGGAUGGAAUCACAAAUCCAGGAUGGUUAUCCCUUACCAUUCAAAAGGAGUGAGAUAGUCACGACCCAUGCAACAAAUCAAGAAAGUCGUGUCACACGGUUUUCUCUAGUACAAAAAGAAAAGAUGAAAAAAUUAAAAGUCCGCUAAGUCAAAAACUUGAAAACAAGAUUGACUUAUAUGUGUGUGUUUGGGGUGAGUCUGGAGAUGCACCUUCGAACUUCGAAAUGUGUGAGCUUUUUUGUAUUUUUCAUCUCAUGCCCUAGUAAUAUAUAUGGUGCAUUAAAAAAUAUCCAUAAAUUAAGGGAUUUGGUUAACACACUCUUAGGAUUGUUUUUCGACCCUUGUGAAAAAUCAAAACUACCUUUAGAAUUCAGAAAUAAAUCUUUGGACGCACCUCAAACACACACACAAUCAAUUCAUUUUUGAGUCAUGAAGUUAAUUAGGAAAUGCAUCUCCUUAAAUAUUAACGGGGGUGUAUUUUCCAAACCUAUUGAACCACACAGAAUUGCAUAAACCAAACAGAUGCAGAAAUAAAGAUAAAUCACAUUGAUAACAUGAAAAAUGAAAUAUUACAUAGAUAAUCGUUAACAUAAAUCGAACUUUGCAUUUGAACAUCAAGAUGGACGUUUCAACAUAUUUAUAAUAUCUUUUAUCGAUCUCGCAAUCAUCGCAUCCAACUUGAUCAAACAUUUUAUUUCGUAACGGUUAAAUGUAUUUCACAUAACUCUUAAAUCCGCAUCCGUCUUCAGCUUAAAGUUGUUGAACUGAAUCUACCAUUCAUUAUCAACCGAGAGUGAACCUUACUUGAGUUUCACAAUUCUUCAAUGAACUUAAAUGCAAUUGAGGACUCCGCGUAGUUGAGUCAUAUUUCAUGGAGACUCAUAAUGCGUCCAAAAAUGCAUUUCCAAAAUUUUAGUGGCAUUUUUAAAUUUUUAUAGGAUGGUUUUCCAGCACUUAUGUAGAGAUAAACAAUUUCCUUAUUAAAGGUCUCUGAGAGGAAUUGAAAUAAAUAUAUUUAAAAAAUUAGUAUUAUACUUAUUUAAGGAAUAAAGUUUUCUAACCAAAAAUUUUUCCCUAAUUUUUUUGUGCCUAAUUUUUUUGCUAACAAAAUAGAGACCUGAUUAUAUUUCACUAAUUUUCAUUCAUCUCUCAAUUAAUAUCUCUCAUAACCCUCAUUAACUCUCAAUUAAUGUAAUUCAUAUCAAUUAAUUGUUUUUUGAAAAUUUUGUAUCCGGCUUCGGACCAACUAGUUUAGUGAAUUGCUAAUUUCAUCUUUAAGUGUUGGAAAAAUACCUUAUAAAAAUUUGAAAAUACUCUUCUGAUUCCAAAAAUGCAUCUUCGGACGCAACUUGCACCUCACCAAAACACGCUUCAACUUGUUGAUGUUUUUUAUGUAAUUCAAGUGGUGUAACUGGUUACCUCAUGUGGUGUAAACGGUUACCACUAAAGUUGAUUUAAUUCAAUAUCAGAUGUAACCGAUUAUCCACUUUUGUGUAACGAUUACAAGCUUAAUAUUUUGAUUUUUUCUGAUAUUUUACUUGGUCAAUUCAGUUCCCAAUUGUGUUGUAUCUCUUGUAUAAGUGUUUAGAAUGUACACUCAUCUAAGGUUAAUGCAAUAAUAAUCUCUCAUCCUCAAUUCUCCUCUUUCACACUCCACAUCCAAAGUAUCUCCACCAUUAUUCACCAAACUUGUGGUGUCCUGUUCCAACAUUUGACAUCAAGAGUCUGGUUCAGAUCCACAAACACUUAGUGUGCAACAUGAAUUAUGUUUCCAAUGAAAAAAUCCCUCCAAACCUACCUAUCCUUGAUGCGAAGAAUUAUGAUAAAUGGUACAAGGAAAUGAAGAUGUUGUUUGGCUACCAAGAUGUUCUUACAGUAACUCUUAAGAGAAAAUAGUUGUCCCUGACCUACUUUGAGUCUCCGUAGGGAAAUUGGACUGGCAAAGAGGGUAGAAGGAGGAAACUACUCAAGUGAGCUUGAAGCAACAAAGGCAGUGAGUUUAGUUCCCACGCGGGGAAGAACGUUUAUAACAAGAGCCAGGAAGAUAAAUUAUUUUAUAAUACCUUCUCAAAAGUAAAAUGAGCUAUGAGAAAGAGCAAGAAUCUCAAGCGAUUGGCUGAACUUAACCUAGCUCGAGCUACAUGGCGGUUGAUCAAGGGAUACCGGAAAGAGGCAAACAACAGAACCUCCGGGUUUGAAGCUUUUCAUGUCGGGGCGAGGUCAAUCAAGGGUUUUGGGUCAGUGAAAGCUCGAGUGCCCCCUUCAAAAGUAAGGUGUCGGGAAUGCAACCAGUGAGGUGACCCGUUCCGUUAGGGCGGAUGAAAGAAGUUAUCCUGAAGCAGCGUCAAAGGCCUCUGUAGGCCCUUCAACAGGAUUUUUUGUCGUGUAGCAUUCUGUUUUGGCUACUCACGAAACUCUUUAUCCUUAAUAGGAAGAACUCCCUUUAGAGGAAGGAUACAAAGACCAAGCCUGUCUUUCUCUCUUAAAAAGGGCAUAUGGGGCAGGGCAGAAAGACUAUUUUAGGGGACUAAUCUGCUAAUGAAUGAAGGAAGGAGAAGGCCUUAAUUGUCUAUCCAAAGGUCCGCCUUGGGUGGAUUUAGGCGAAUCAAGUGGGUGGGAAUGAUCCGAGCCCCCUAUGUAAAUUUCAGUAAGGUAACUAAGGUUUACAAUAAUUCAUUUCAGUAGUGCGUUACCUUGCAGCUCUAUCUAUCGGGUAGUCAGUCUCUUGGUCAAAAGCCGGUACCUAAUUCCCCUGCUGGUGGGCCGAUCCUCGUCUAGCGGUGGGAACCGGCUGGUAUGGAUCAAUUGCUUGCCCUGUCUCUCUUCUGUUCAACCAUCGAGAAUCCGCAGUUAUCUUUGCUCAUUGGGUGGGCGAAGGAAUCCUUUCUAUUGAAUAAGGGCUUUGAGAAGCAGGCCAUUCCGUUCCAGUUAGCACCGUAUCCCGCUUUUCCGAUAGCAAAGGGCCUUCUAAUUAGCGUGCUUUGCUUAACCCGGCAAGAUCCGAGAUCAGACCUAGUCCUGCUGACCCGCUACCCUUGAAAACAUACUUUUUGCCACCUUACGACUGGUGUGAAGGAACUUAUUGCACAUAUUUAACAUGGGGAAGGAAAGAGGAGGGAAUAAAGCAUAUUUUAGGCAUCGANUUAAGAAAUGUCCAUGAAUUAAGGGAUUUGGUUAACGCACUCUUAGGGUUGUUUUUCGACCCUCGUGAAAAAUCAAAACUACCUUUAGAAUUCAGAAAUAAAUCUUUGGACGCACCUCAAACACACAUAAUCUGUUCAUUUUGUAGUCAUGAAUUUAAUUCGGAAAUGCAUCUCCUUAAAUAUUUAUGGAGGUGUAUUUUCAGAACCUACUUAACCACAAAGAAUUUCAUAAACCAAACAGAUGCAGAAACAAAGAUAAAUCACAUUGAUAACAUUGAAAAAUGAAAUAUUACAUAGAUAAUCGUUAACAUAAAUCGAACAUUAUAUUUGAACAUUAAGAUGGACGUUUCAACAUCUUUAUAAUAUCUUUUAUCGAUCUCGCAAUCAUCGCAUCCAACUUGAUCAAAUAUUUUGUUUCGUAACGGUUAAAUGUAUUUCAGAUAACUCUUAAAUCUGCAUUCGUCUUCAGCUUAAAAUUGUUGAAAUGAAUCUUCGAUUCAUUAUCAAUCGAGAGUGAACCGUACUUGAGUUUUGUAAGAACAAAAAUAGUUCUACAAUAGAUUCCAUGAUUUUGAUGAUAACAAAGGAUGAAACCAAAAAUGGCACCCUAACGAAAAGUUUCUAAGUGUGCAGGGUUCUAAAGAAAGAAGAAAUAAAUCUGAUGAUGUCAUCAGAUGCAAAACAAGAUCAGAUGUAAAAUCUCAAGUAUCAGAAGCAUCUAAAGAGGAAUCUCAUUCAAGAAGCUCUGACUCUGGACAAAACUACAAAGUAUCAGAAGCAUCUGAACAUGAAGUAAAGUCUAGAAGCUCUGACUCUGAACAAAUGCCUUCUGUAAAUUCUGAAGUUAUCAGCGCCAUCUGAACUUUCAAGAGAUAACAUCAGAAGCCAGUUUCUCCAGAUACACAAAGACUCUAAUCAGAAUUGUUAAUCAUGAUGAAGUAACGUUUAAGCCAAGUUAAAGUUCUGCAAAUGGAUUUCCUCAAUUAGAAAGAGACGUUAAUCUCCACUUCCAAGAGAGAAGAUACUAAUUGUGGUAAGUAGUCACUUCUAAGAGAAAAAGUCUACUGCAGAAGCUAUUAAUGGAAUGGCGUAACUACAUCUCAAUAUCCAACAGAUUCAACGCUACUUCAACUCUACUUCAACUCCUAUAAAUAGAGAAGAAAUCUCAUUCAGUAAGAAAGAAAUCACUAGCCAAAACUAUACUGAAAUUAUAUCACGCUCAAGAAAAACAUCUUUGUUCUUCAAAGAUUUUCACUAAGCUUUUGCUUAUCAAGUGAAAAAUUUGUUCUUAAGUUUGUAAUAUUUGCUUUCUUAGAAGCACUCUAGAUUACACAUCUUGUAUCUAAUUUUUAUUUGAUUUCCUCAAGUGACUCUUUGUAGUCUGUAGACUUGAGAGGACUAAGAGAUUUUCUUCUCUCUUAGGGGUUGUUUGUAAUCUUUCAAGAUUAGUGGAUUAAGUCCUUGUUGAAGGCGAAAUCACCUUGGCCGGGUGGACUGGAGUAGCUUUGUGUUAUAAGCGAACCAGUAUAAAAUCAUUGUGUGAUUUUCUUUUGCAAAAGCGCUUAUUUUUCAAACAAUUCAAACCCCCCCUUUCUUGUUUUUCUCACCUUCAAUUGGUAUCAGAGCUCCGGCUCUGUUAUUGAUUUUCAAAUCAAACACUUAACCGUGUAGAGAGAUCCAGUGCGAGAAAAACAAAUGGCCCACUCAAAUGAGAAAGAUUCUUACAAUGCCAAGCCUCCUGUUUUUGAUGGAGAAAAGUUUGAUUACUGGAAAGAUAGAAUCGAAAGUUUCUUUCUGGGUUAUGAUGCUGACCUCUGGGACAUUGUCACAGAUGGAUACAAACCUCCAACCUUAAAUGGAGCUGAAGUUCCCAGAAGCAAAAUGUCAGAAGAUCAGAAACGUGAGUUCAAAAAUCAUCACAAGGCCAGAACAAUACUUCUAAAUGCUAUAUCAUACAACGAAUACGAAAAGAUCACCAACAGAGAGACGGCUAAAGAUAUACUUGACUCUCUGAAGAUGACCCAUGAAGGAAACUCCCAAGUCAAGGAGACGAAGGCUCUGGCGUUGAUCCAGAAAUAUGAAGCCUUCAAGAUGGAAGAUGACGAAGCUAUAGAAGCUAUGUUUUCCAGAUUCCAAACUCUUAUUGCAGGUCUUAAAGUGCUAGACAAAGGAUACACGACUGCAGAUCAUGUUAAGAAGAUUGUCAGAAGUCUGCCAAAGAAAUGGAGACCUAUGGUUACUGCUCUGAAGUUAUCAAAGGAUCUGAACAGUAUCAGCCUUGAAGAACUUGUUAGUUCUCUCAGAAGCCAUGAGAUAGAACUAGAGGAGGAUGAGCCUCAGAAAAGGAACAAGUCAGUGGCGCUGAAGUCCAGACCUGAAAGACGGAAGUCAGACAGAACCAAAGCUCUCCAGGCAGAAACUGCAGAUACUGACGACUCUGAACCUGAAGACUCUGAUGAUGAAGAAGAACUGUCCUUACUAACCAGAAGAGUUAAGCAACUCUGGAAAAGAAGGAACAACAACAACUUCAGAAGAUCAAGACCCAGAGGGGAUAGAUCAGAGUCAACUUCAAAAGGUAAACCUAAUAAAGAUAUUACCUGUUUUGAAUGUAAAGAAACAGGUCAUUAUAGAAAUGAAUGCCCCAAGCUGAAGAAAGAUAACUCUAAGAAAGAAAGCUUCAAGAAAAAUGCCUUCAGAACAAAGAAGGGAUUAAUGGCCACCUGGGACGAUAGUGAAUCAGGAUCAUCAGAAUCUGACUCUGAUGAACAAGCCAACGUAGCAUUUAUGGCUACCACAUCCAGCAGCUCAGAUGAAGAAUCUGAAGAGGUAUUUUCUGAACUUUCUAGAUCUGACUUAGAAUCAUGUUUAUCAGAAACUCUUACCUCUCUUCAGAAAUUAAAACAAAAAGUUAAAAGCAUUAAAGGCCUUCUUAAAGCAAAAUCUGAAGAAUGUAGUGAACUUGAGACAACAAUUCUAGCACAUGAAGAUACAAUCAAAUCUUUAACGUUAGAAAGAGAUGGAGCUAAAACAAAAAGCUUAAAAUUAGAAGAAGCGUUGUCUCAAGCACCACAAACUUCAAAUGAAAUUAUUUAUAAAUAUGAAGAAGCCUUUCAGAAGUUUCUGAAGAGUGGAAUAGAUAGGAGUAUUAUGGCAUCCAUGAUUUAUGGAGUAAGUCAGAAUAAUAAAAGGGGAAUUGGGUAUGAUUCUGAUUCUGAUAAAACUUCUACCAGUAACCAAAUUAAAUCACCUUUUUCAUACCACUAUACACACACACAAGAACACAAAUUUAAAAAUGCUAGAAGACCCAAAGUUGUAAGAAACUCUGGGAAAACUAAUCUGAAAGGACCCAAGAGAUUCUGGGUACCGAAAGAUAAGAUUAUCUAUGUUGCAGAUAUCCUAUGCAGCAAAGUUCAGACACCAGUCAUGGUACCUGGACUCUGGAUGCUCGCGACAUAUGACGGGAAGAAAGUCUAUGUUCCAAAGCCUGGAACUUAAAGACGCUGGCUUUGUAGGCUUCGGAGGAGAUCAGAAAGGAAGGAUCAGAGGCUCCGGAACUAUUGGUAAUGGUACUCUUCCCUCUAUAUCUGAUGUUCUUUAUGUAGAAGGAUUAAUGCAUAACUUGUUAUCCAUAAGUCAAUUAAGUGAUAACGGUUAUGAUGUAAUCUUUAAUCAAAAAACGUGUAAAGCCAUUAAUCAGAACGAUGGCUCUGUCCUUUUCACAGGCAAGAGGAAAAACAACAUUUAUAAAAUAAAUCUUUCUGAUUUAAAAGAUCAAAAUGUUAAAUGUUUAAUGUCAGUUCACGAAGAGCAAUGGGUAUGGCAUAGACGCUUAGGCCACAUUAGCAUGAGAAAACUUUCUCAGCUAACUAAACUUGAGUUAGUCAGAGGCUUACCUAAACUGAAGUUUUCUUCAGAUGCUCUGUGUGAAGCUUGUCAGAAAGGAAAGUUUUCAAAAACAUCUUUUAAAAAGAAAAAUGUUGUUUCUACCUCCAAGCCUCUGGAGCUUCUUCACAUUGACUUAUUUGGUCCUGUGAAAACAGCAUCAGUCAAUGGAAAGAAGUAUGGACUAGUAAUCGUUGAUGAUUACAGCCGCUGGACAUGGGUAAAAUUCCUAAAGCACAAGAGUGAGUCUCACUCUGUAUUCACCAGUUUCUGUUCUAAAGUGCAAAAAGAAUUUGACUCUAAAAUUGUUAGAGUCAGAAGUGAUCAUGGUGGAGAAUUUGAAAAUAAAGAUUUUGAAGAAUUAUUUGAUUCUAAUGGAAUAUCCCAUGAUUUCUCCUGCCCUAGAACUCCACAACAAAAUGGAGUUGUAGAGAGGAAGAAUAGGACACUCCAAGAAAUGGCCAGAACCAUGAUCAAUGAAACAAAUGUAGCAAAGCACUUUUGGGCAGAAGCUGUAAAUACAGCGUGUUACAUUCAGAAUAGAAUCUCUAUUAGACCUAUUCUGGAUAAGACUCCCUAUGAACUGUGUAAGGGAAGAAAACCCAACAUUUCAUAUUUUCAUCCUUUUGGAUGCAUUUGCUUUAUAUUAAAUACUAAAGAACAUCUGAACAAGUUUGAUUCCAAAGCACAGAAAGGUAUUAUGUUAGGAUACUCAGAACGCUCUAAAGGCUACAGAGUAUACAACACAGAAACCAAAAUUGUGGAGGAAUCAAUUCAUGUUAGAUUUGAUGAUAAGCUUGACCCUGAAAAGUCAAAGCUAGUUGAAAAGUUUGCAGAUUUAGAGAUCACUCUGGUAGAAUCUGAGAAAACUCCAGAAGCAACUGUCACUCCAGACUCUGAAGAAAUUAAAUCUCCAGAAAUUCCAAGGAAAGUCAAGAGUCGUAGCAACGUAUCUGAAGAUUUGAUUUUGGGAAACAAAGAUGAACCUGUUAGAACCAGAUCUACCUUCAGAACUUCUGAAGAUAUUCCUCUGGGACUAGUGUCUCUGAUUGAGCCUACGUCCUGUGAUGAAGCUCUUCAAGAUAACGAUUGGGUGGCAGCUAUGCAAGAAGAGUUAGAUCAAUUCUCCAAGAAUGAUGUCUGGGAUCUCGUUCCUAAACCCAGAGGCACUCAUGUCAUUGGAACCAGAUGGGUUUUCAGAAACAAACUGAACGAGAAAGGAGAAGUUGUCAGAAACAAAGCACGACUGGUAGCUCAAGGUUAUAGUCAACAAGAAGGUAUUGAUUAUAAUGAAACUUUUGCUCCAGUCGCAAGGUUAGAAUCUAUUCGUCUUCUUGUAUCUUUUGCUAUUAAUCACUCUAUCAAAUUAUACCAAAUGGAUGUCAAGAGUGCAUUUCUUAAUGGUUAUAUUUCAGAAGAAGUGUAUGUCAAUCAACCUCCAGGUUUUGAAAAUUCAAACUUUCCAGAACAUGUUUUCAAACUUAAGAAAUCCUUAUAUGGACUUAAACAAGCUCCCAGAGCUUGGUAUGAACGCUUAAGUAAUUUUCUUCUGGAACAAAAUUUUAUCAGAGGGAAAGUUGAUUCUACACUCUUCUGUAAAAAUCAUAAAAAUGAUCUCAUGAUAUGCCAAAUUUAUGUUGAUGACAUUAUUUUUGGUUCUGCUAAUAUCUCUGUUUGCCAAGAAUUUUCUAAGUUAAUGCAGGCAGAAUUUGAAAUGAGUCUAAUGCAAGAACUAAAGUUCUUUCUGGGAAUUCAAAUUAAUCAAACUCCAGAAGUCACGUACAUUCAUCAAAGCAAGUACAUUAAAGACGUUCUGAAGAAGUUUGAUAUGUCUGAAUGCAACUCUGCAAAGACUCCUAUGCACCCAACUUGCAUUCUGGAAAAGGAAGAGGUAAGCAACAAGGUUUGUCAGAAGCUCUAUCGAGGUAUGAUAGGCUCUCUUCUCUAUCUGACUGCUACUCGUCCUGAUAUUCUCUUUAGCGUCUGUCUUUGUGCCAGAUUCCAAUCAGAUCCUAGAGAAUCUCAUUUAACAGCUGUUAAGAGAAUUCUUAAGUAUCUGAAAGGAACUCCUAACCUGGGCCUGAUGUAUGAGAAAACAUCAGAGUAUAGGCUUUCUGGUUAUUGUGAUGCAGAUUAUGCAGGAGAUAGAAUAGAACGAAAAAGCACAUCUGGAAAUUGCCAGCUUCUGGGAAACAAUCUAAUCUCCUGGGCUAGCAAAAGACAGUCAACUAUCGCUCUAUCAACUGCAGAAGCAGAAUAUAUCUCAGCAUCACUGUGCACAACUCAGAUGCUCUGGAUGAAACAUCAGCUAGAAGAUCUUCAAAUCUUUGAGAGUAACAUUCCUAUCCUUUGUGAUAAUACUGCUGCUAUUUGUUUGAGUAAGAAUCCUAUUUUACAUUCCAGAGCCAAACACAUAGAAAUUAAACAUCAUUUUAUUAGAGACUAUGUUCAGAAAGGAAUAGUAACGCUGAAGUUCAUUGAUACAGAACAUCAAUGGGCAGAUAUCUUUACUAAGCCUCUAGCUGAAGAUAGAUUUCUUUUCAUCUUAGAAAAUCUGAACAUUAAAAAUUGUCCUGAGUAAAAUUUGGCUCUGAACAUGUAAAAUGAGACUCUGAUAAAAACAAAUACACUUCUGCCUCUGACUCUGAUACUUCUACCAAGUUAAGAAGAUAUCUGAGUUAGAAAUCUUCAGAAAUCCUUUGGUAUUCCUGAAGAUCAGAUACAUCAACACGUGGGGAACAUGCGUCUAACCCUAGAACUUCUAGACAGCUGUCAAAAGAAAUCAAAGGUCAGAACGCUUGAAAUCUCCUCGAGCAGUGUGCUUACUGUUGGGAUUAGACAUUCAUUAAUUAGCUAUAAUCAUUUUUCCCCCAAACGUGCUAUUUUGGUUUUUGUGCUAACGCUGGUAUGUGUGUCGUUUUGCAUGUGUUUUUACCCUUAGUAUAUAAACACUUUCUCUCACUUUUCACACUUAUCACUCUCACUCACUCUAAAACCCUAAACCCUUCUCUGAAAGUUCUCUGCAAGUUCUUCAUCUUCUUCAAUCUCCAUCAUCUUCAUCAACAUGGACGCUCAACAACAAGAACUCUUCAACCAUUCUCAACAAGUGGAAUCUAGUUCCAAUCCCCAAACCUCAAACACUCAAACACCCACGGUUAUAAGCGUCACCACAACCCCAGUUUACAAAGAACCUCACAUUCUUGACCGUGAACAACACAUUCAUCUUUCAACUCCCUUUGAAGGUUUGGAUGUACUGUGUGAAUCGCUGGUGGAUUUUGAGAAUUUGAGAAGAAAUGGCGUUGAUUUAACUGAAGAUCUUCGCAAGCAAGGUUGGGAAACCUACUUCAACAGAUUGUAUGGUCCAAUCUAUCCUCUUCUGGUGAAAGAAUUCUGGAGAUGUGCAGAUGCUGAUGAUGAGUUCAUUGUUUCUUUUGUUCUGGGAGUGAAGAUCAUCAUCACAGAAGCAUCUAUUGCCUCUUUGCUGAACAUGGAGAGAACUGGAGGUAAAAGGAUUUACAACAUUCCUCCAAGGUCCAAGCGCAUCACAGAAGUCAUUAACCCUACAAUCUUCAAAGCAAAUGUUGAAGGAAACCCAUCUAAGAACAAGGAGCUUCAUCAGAACCUCCGAGUUUGGCUGAAGAUUAUUCUGGGAACAAUCCAUCAUCGUCCAGCCUCCAACUCUUCAGAUUAUAUAAAUGCUGAUCAGAAAUGCAUCCUCUACUGUAUUCAGAAGGGUAUUCCAAUCAACCUCCCUGUUCUCCUCUUCAGAUAUCUGAGGGAUUCAGUCAGAGAAACAAGGAAUAAUAUGAAGCCCAGAUCCUACAUUCCUCUGGGAAGAUUGCUCUCUGACAUCUUCAUUGAGCAUGGGCUGGUAGAUGCUCUGGAGAAGACCAGAUGUAUGGAUGAUCUGGCAAUUGACGUUGGAAAGCCUCUGAAUGCCAAAAAUCUGAGGAGUAUGGGAAUCAUCAAAGACAUCAGAGUCAAGCCCACUAUGAAUGUAACCUGGGAAGCUCUGAAGGAUCAGAGGAAGAUGCCUCAUGGCCUUGAAAGGUUCUUCAAGAAUGAACCCAGAGAUGCCAUUGCUAUCUACCUUCAGGAUCGUCUGGAUGAAGGCAUUGAUAUCUCUGAUUUCCGCCUUGAAGACUGUCUGGACUCUGUAGAAGAUCUGGUCAGAUACAAAAGAGGUCUUUCUGAGAAGAAGAUAGCUGAGGAAGCAAGGAAGGCAAAGAAAGCCAGACUUGGAGAAACCUCUGGCACCAAAGCUUCAGCACCUCUGAAUGUCUCCUCUGGUAAGUCCAUUCCUCCUGUCUCUUCUGAAUCUGUAAUGGCUUCCUCUAACCCUCUCUCCUCUCAACCAAUAUAUACCACCGCUGAAAUACCACCUUCAACCAUCAGAACCUCUCAACCUCCACCUGUUCUAAAAAUUGCUCGUAAUUUCACAACAACCUCUGACCCUAAUCAACUAUAUCACCACAGCUCUUCCUCAUCCUCUGAAUAUGAAUCACCCCCUUACCUUUCCCCUUCUUCUGACCAAGAGUUCUCUGAACAAGAGUCCUCUGACCAAGAACACUCUGACCCAAACUCCCCAACAAUAGCUGAAAUUUAUGCUAAAAAUUUCGCUCCACAACCCUCAAGACAAUCUGAAGUAACCUCUCCCCUCCAAACUUCACUUCCACCACAACAAACAACAACCUUACCCUCUGAAACUCAACCAUCUGAUCCCUUCACCUCUAAUAUCACUCCACCAUUUAUUCCCGCUGUACCUGGACCAGACUCUGACCCUUUAGACCUAAAUCCACUAUAUGCUUCAUCCCCUAGUCUUCAACCAGACGCAGAUUCUGAACUUCAAGCAGAAUCUGAACCUCAACAAACUGAACCUCAACCUCUAAAUCUCAGCCCUCAAAACUCUCCACCUCAUUCACCUGAACCUGAACCUGAACUUACCAUACCUACCCUUGAGGAGGCCAUUAUACAGGUUGCAGAAGCUUCAGUCCAGAAGAUCAAGUCUCUGGCUAAAAACUCUGAAGUUAGUGAUGAUCCUAAAUCUGUUAGGACACACUGGAACAGAGUCAUUAGUUGGAUGACCUCUGAGUCUUAUAGGCUGAAGAGUAUCUCUGAACAAGUCAGAAAUGGCUACAUCAGAGACUCUGAGGAAAGACUCCAAGAGAGACUGGCUAGAGAAGCUGAGGCCAGAAGGUUAGAGGAAGAGAGACUGGCUAGAGAAGCUGAGGCCAAGAGAUUAGAGGAAGAAAGAUUGGCUAGGGAAGCUGAAGAAGAAGCUAAGAGGUUGGAAGAAGAACGCCUGGCAAAGGAAGCAGAACUUCUAAGGAUUCAGGAAGCUGAAGCCAAGGCUAAGGCAGAUGCAGAAGCCCAAGCUGCUGCUGAAGCUGAAGCUCAGCAGGCUCUGAUUCAGGGGGAGUCUUCCUCUGCGAUCCCUCUGAUUCUUAACACUCUGAAGGAGAUCAAGCAAGAUCAGAAAGAGAUCAAGCAAGAUCAGAGUGAGCUCCGGGCAAGGAUGGACAAGCAAGACGCUCUGAAUGAAAACCUCCAGAAUAUGUUUGCUAUGCUACUACAGAGACUUCCUCCUCCUCCAAACCCUUAGGCACUUAGGAUUUCUUUUGUUUGCCUAGUGUUUUUGCUUCUGUCUUUUCUUUUUUUUCUCUGAUAUUUCUGUUGAAUCUGAUGUUUUGACUGCUGCUUGCCUUUGUGCUUUUGUUUAAUGAAGUGUUUUUCUCUCUAUUAUUUUUUUUAUGUUUUAUGCCUUUUUGAUUAUGCCAAAAAGGGGGAGAAAUUAUUAAAUAGCUCUGAUGAAAAUUAUGUCUAAAACCUUAAGCAUUCUGCAACAAUUAUAGAAAUAGUUCUGAUAUAAAUAGCUCUGAUUAAAUAAUAGCUCUGAUUAAAUAACUCUAACAUUAAAAUUAAGAAAUUGCAGAAAGUUUUCAGAAAUCUCAUUGCUUGGAAAGCUCUGGUAAGAACUUCUGAACUCCCUAGUACUAACUCAGGGGGAGCUUUUGUCUAUCUGAUCUAAUAUUUUUCAUGUUUCAUCUGAUAAUUUUAUUUGUUUUGUCAUCAUCAAAAAGGGGGAGAUUGUAAGAACAAAAAUUGUUCUACAACAGAUUCCAUGAUUUUGAUGAUAACAAAGGAUGAAACCAAAAAUGGCACCCUAACGAAAAGUUUCUAAGUGUGCAGGGUUCUAAAGAAAGAAGAAAUAAAUCUGAUGAUGUCAUCAGAUGCAAAACAAGAUCAGAUGCAAAAUCUCAAGUAUCAGAAGCAUCUAAAGAGGAAUCUCGUUUCAAGAAGCUCUGACUCUGGACAAAACUACAAAGUAUCAGAAGCAUCUGAACAUGAAGUAAAGUCUAGAAGCUCUGACUCUGAACAAAUGCCUUCUGUAAAUUCUGAAGUUAUCAGCGCCAUCUGAACUUUCAAGAGAUAACAUCAGAAGCCAGUUUCUCCAGAUACACAAAGACUCUAAUCAGAAUUGUUAAUCAUGAUGAAGUAACGUUUAAGCCAAGUUAAAGUUCUGCAAAUGGAUUUCCUCAAUUAGAAAGAGACGUUAAUCUCCACUUCCAAGAGAGAAGAUACUAAUUGUGGUAAGUAGUCACUUCUAAGAGAAAAAGUCUACUGCAGAAGCUAUUAAUGGAAUGGCGUAACUACAUCUCAAUAUCCAACAGAUUCAACGCUACUUCAACUCUACUUCAACUCCUAUAAAUAGAGAAGAAAUCUCAUUCAGUAAACACGAAGAAAUCACUAGCCAAAACUAUACUGAAAUCAUAUCACGCUCAAGAAAAACAUCUUUGUUCUUCAAAGAUUUUCACUAAGCUUUUGCUUAUCAAGUGAAAAAUUUGUUCUUAAGUUUGUAAUAUUUGCUUUCUUAGAAGCACUCUAGAUUACACAUCUUGUAUCUAAUUUUUAUUUGAUUUCCUCAAGUGACUCUUUGUAGUCUGUAGACUUGAGAGGACUAAGAGAUUUUCUUCUCUCUUAGGGGUUGUUUGUAAUCUUUCAAGAUUAGUGGAUUAAGUCCUUGUUGAAGGCGAAAUCACCUUGGCCGGGUGGACUGGAGUAGCUUUGUGUUAUAAGCGAACCAGUAUAAAAUCUUUGUGUGAUUUCAUUUUGCAAAAGCGCUUAUUUUUCAAACAAUUCAAACCCCCCUUUCUUGUUUUUCUCACCUUCAAGUUUCACAAUUCUUUGAUGAACUAAAAUGCAAUUGAGGACUCCGCGUCUUUGAGUCAUAAAUCAUGGAGACUCAUAAUGCGUCCAAAAAUGCAUAUCCAAAAUUUAAGUGGCAUUUUCAAAUUUUUAUAGGAUGGUUUUCCAACACUUAUGUAGAGAUAAACAAUUUCGUAAUUAAAGGUCUCUAAGAGGAGUUGAAAUAAAUAUAUUUAAAAAAUUAGUAACAUAAUUAUUUAAGGAAUAAAGUUUUCUAACCAAAAGAAUUUUUCCCUAAUUUUUUUGUGCCUAAUUUAUUUUGCUAACAAAGUAAAGCCCUGAUUAUUGUUACUAAAUUUUAGUAAUUUUCAUUCAUCUCUCAAUUAAUAUCUCUUAUAAUCCUCAUUAACUCUCAAUUAAUGUAAUUCAUAUCUAUCAAAAAAAAUUGAAAAUUUUGUAUCUAGGCUUGGGACCAACUAGUUUAGUGAAUUGCUAAUUUCAUCUUAAGUGUUGGAAAUAUGCCCUAUAAAAUUUUGAAAAUACCCUUUUGAAUCCGAAAAUGCAUCUUCGAACGCACCUUACGCCUCACUAAAACACACCUCAACUUGUUGAUGUUUUUUAUGUAAUUCAAGUGAUGUAACCAGUUAUCUCGGGUAGGUAACCGGUUACAUAAAUGUCUAAAGUUCAAUCAAGUAGCAAAAAUGUGGAGUUUUUGAAGGUGUAACCGGUUAACCAUUUUGGUGUAAACGGUUACCACAAAAGCUGAUUUAAUUCAAUGUCAGGUGUAACCGAUUAUCCAUUUUUGUGUAACAUUACAAGCGUAAUAUUUUGAUUUUUCCUGCUAUUUUACUUGGUCAAUUCAGUUCCCAAUUGUGUUGUAUCUCUUGUAUAAGUGUUUAGAAUGCACACUCAUCUAAGGUUAAUGCAAUAAUAAUCUCUCCCCCUUAAUUCUCCUCUUUCACACUCCACAUCCAAAGUAUCUCCAUCAUUGUUCACCAAACUUGUGGUCUCUUGUUCCAAAAUUUGACAUCAAGAGUCUGGUUCAGAUCCACAAACACCUAGUGUGCAACAUGAAUUAUGUUUCCAAUGAAAGAAUUCCUGCAAACCUACCUAUCUUUGAUGCGAAGAAUUAGGAUAAACGGUGCAAGGAAAUGAAGAUGUUGUUUGGAUACCAAGAUGUUCUUAAAGUAAUCAAUAAGGAUGUUACUCCUCUUAUUCAAAAUGAAACAGAGGCGCAACAAGCAACACAUAAGGAAGAGAAGAAGAAAUAGUUCAAUGUGUUGAUGGCGAUGAUUUUAAGAAAGUUGAUGAUUGUGAAUCGUCAAAGUAAGCGUGAGAGAUCUUAGAGAAGGCAUGUGCAUGGGUUGACAAGGAAAAGGUGGUGAGGUUACAAACUCAUAAACGUCAGUUUGAAUUGAUUCAAAUGGAGGAAAAGGAGAUAAUCAAUGAUUUUGCAAUGAGAAUCACUCGGUUGGUGAAUCAAGUGAAGGCAUGCAAAGAAACUGUUACGGAGUUGUAUGUUGCUGCUAAAAUCUUGUGUUCUUUAACACCAAGAUUUAACAGUAUAGUUGUGGCAAUUGAUGAGUCAAAGGAUCCCGCGACGAUGAGCAAAGAGGAGUUGCAAAGUUCUCUUGAGGCUCAUGAGAAAAAGAUGGAAAAGAGGAAUAACGAUAAGGCAAAGGCGGAGAUUGCUUUGCAAGCUCGUUUCAAUGAGAAGGACAAGAGAUCGAAAGGAAAAUGGCCCAAGAAAAGAAAAGGGAAUUUUCAUAAUUUGGGUGGAAGAGAGUCCUAAAAUUCAAAUGAUUUGACUUGUCAAAGGGGUGAGAGCAGCUACAAUAAACAUGGUGGUCAAGGAAACUUUAGAGGUAGAAGGAAGAAGUUUGAUAAGAGCAAGGAGAUGUGCUAUAAGUGUCAAUGGUUCGUUCAUUUUGCAAAAAAAUACAAUGUGAACAAGAAAGAAUCUCAAGGGAUUAAACCAAGGUUGCAAGAUAAGAGUUUGAUGAAGAGAAUAUAAUUUUGGUCAUGAUCAAAGAAGGGAAUUAUAGCAGCAAACAACUGUGGGACAACAGCGGCAAUAAAUCAAAGAAUGCUAAAAAGGUCGGUUGAAUGAUACGAUUAACCGAUCGCAUGAAGAGGAAGAUACCAUGAUGAGUUUGAAAGGAGUUCAAUGUAGUGAUGAGUGGUAUUUGGACUUGGGUUGUUCAGCUCAUAUGACAGGAAUAAAGGAUUGGUGUGUCAAAAUCAAUCGUGCCAUGAAGAAUAAACUAAAGUUUGCAGAUGAAACCACCCUAAUGAUCGAUGGGAUCGAUGAUGUUUUGAUCAUGAGAAGGGAUAAUGGACAUUACUUAAUCACAAAUUCUUGUACAUUUUUGGAAUCAAAUUUAACCUUCUAAGUAUUGGCCAAUUGCUUGAGAAGGAUUCCAAGAUUCACAUGGAAGACAAUGGGUUGUGCGUUAUGGAUAUAAGAGGAGGCUUGGUCCUUAAAGCGCAUAUGGCUGCCAAUAGAACCUUUAAGGUUGAGUUGAAGGUUAUAGAGUAUAAAUGUCUUGCUACUACAUCAAGUAGACAACAGUGGAUAUGGCACUAUCGUCUUAGACAUCUCAAUUUUAGAGAUCUCAAAGACUUUCAAAAGAACAUAAUGGUAACAGGGCUGCCAUUGAUCAACAUACUAGCUGAAAUUUGUGAAGAAUGUGUGCAAGUGAAGCAACAUAAGGGAAAAUUGAGCAAGUAGACUCUAUUGGUGGAAAUAUGUAUUUUGUCACAUUUAUCGAUGAUCAUAGUACAAAACUAUGGACAUACCUAAUCAAGAUAGAUGACAAUGUAUUUCAUGAUCGUCCGUCAUUGCAUAUAUUUAGUCGAAGAAUCAGACAAAACAAGUGAAAGUUAAGAUAAAAUGAAGAAGAAUAAGGAAAAAAUAUCUAAGCAUGGAAACUGGGGACUUAUUGAAAUUUUGAGUAAAAAAGGGAGCAAAAGUGUGCAACCACUGGAAUAAUCAUGCGCACCAUCACGUAGCAUCGUGCACACAAUGGGGUCUUUAAAGUUGCAUCGCGCAUGCGAUACAAGGAAUCACGCGCGUGAUAAAUACUUUUUAUGGGCUUUUCAGACGCGUUCUGGUCCAUUCUAACGCCUUUAAAAGGGGAUUUUCUGAACUUUCACAAGAGUUACAAAAUUGGGAGAUCUAGGCACUACUUUGAGAGCACAAGUGGUGAUUUUUAUAACAUUAGAAGUUAUUGGAGACCAUUACUUCAACGUAUUUCACAUGUUAUUUUCAUCUAUCAAUUAUGAUAUUUUUAAUUGCAUUAUGAGUAGCUAAGCUCCUCUAGAUUAGGUUGUAUACUGAUGAACCUAUUUCUAUAUUGUUGGAAUCUAUGUUGAUUUAACAAUUGUGUGAACCUUUUGAACUAUAAUUCCAUUCAAUUGCUUCUUGUUCAUAAUGCUUUUUAUGUGAGAUGAUAUUUUAAUAUGAUUUUGGGAACAUAAGGAAUACUGACCAUUAGUCUAUGUGUUGGACCUAGGGAAAUUGUUGUACUUACGCUGGUUGAAUAGGAAUAGGAGACCCUGAGUAGUGGCGUAGAGAAUUAACGCUUUAUACAUCGCCUAACCCUGCUUACGCUGGAGGACUAAGGAUAAAAAGCUCUGAGUGGUGGUUAGUGAGUUAUUUCAUGAGGGAUCAACUAUAACAGUUUUGUUAAUUCGUCGUGGUGUUAUAGUGAUAAGACCAUUCGUACAAGACAUCAAACAUCAACAAUAGAGGAAUAUGAGAUUUUAAAACACAACUUGGCCGCUUUCGUGAUAUUGUUUAAUUGUUUAUUUACUUUUUGCACAGAAACUCAACCCCCCCCCCCCCNNNNNNNNNNNNNNNNNCCCCCCCCCCCCUUUACUAGUUUUUUAUAAAUUGCACACAUUUUGUCUUGCUUGAACGAAGUUCACGUGGAUUCGAUCUUUUUAUUACUUCGACGAUGUCAAUACACUUGUCGAGAAGUCAUCAAGUUUUUGGCGCUUUUGCCAGGGACUAUUAAUUUUUCAUCAAGGCGAUGUUUGUGCAAUUUUUUUUAGUCUUUAAAUUUUAUGUUUUAUUUUCUUGUUUCUCAAAAUGCUAUUGAGGUAUUUUCUAUUUGUGUAUGUACCGUUCAGGAUCAACAUUAAUACCAUUGGAUCCAAAAAUUGAAAGAAACGCACAUGCUCUCAGAAAAGCUGUUAGAGGAGCAACUCUGGAAAGAGGAAUACUAGAAGAAGAGUAAUUAUCAAGUUAGUCAUACUCUGAAGAUGAAGCUGUAAUGGCAGAUGCACAACCCCUAACUAUGGGGGAUUAUUAUAAAUGAACCGAUGAAGGACACUUCUCCAGAGGGUUUGUACCGGUAGACCCUUCUAACUUUGAUAUUAAAAAUUAUGUGCUUUAAGGUUUGAGAGAAAAUUUGUUCGGCAGGAACACGAUUAGAGACCUAUGGGUGCAUCUUACACACUUCUAUGAAACAACUUCAAUGUGAAAAUCAAUUGAUGCCACUGAAGACCAGGUUAAAUUGAGGUUGUUUGGGUUCUCACUAAUUGGAAGGGCGAAGAUUGGUUACUUUUCCUCCCGAAUGGAACGAUACGAACAUGAAAGGAAUUAGAGGAUAAAUCCCUGGAAAGAUUUUUCACUACUACUCAGUUUACCGAGCGCUAAGCAGAAAUUGUGAGGUUUGAGCAGUAGGAAAUUGAGUCACUUUAUGACUCUUGGGAAAGAUUCAAACUUUUGUUACGCAGAUGCUCGAAUCACAACAUGAAUAAUAUAGAGCAGAUGCAAAACUUCAUUAAAGGUCUCAAAGUCAAACUCACGUAUUUUUGGAUGCUUCUACGAGAGGUACUAUCUGAAAAAUGAAUGAACCAUGGGUAAAAGAUAUCAUUGAGAAAAUGUGUAUAAUUGAGUACCGAUCCAAGAACGAAAGGUCGAUCAAGAUGGGAACUGUGGGCACGCCUAAAGGUAUGUUACCUAUUGAUACCCACAUUGCUCUUUUAGCUCAGAUUGAAUUAUUAAAUAAAAAGCAAGCUGGAAGAAGCUUAGUUAAAGCUAACGUAAGUCAGGUACAAGCACUUAAAAGCGAUUUAUAUGGAGGAUAACAUGCGAAUGGAAGUUGUUCAUUGGAAGGGACAAGUGAGGAGGUAAAAUUUUAUAAUUUUUAAAAAAAAUAACUUGUAUUCAAACACAUAUAAUCCGGGUUAAAAAGACCACCCAAAAUUCCUUUGGAAUAAUAAUCAAAAUUCAAAUGCUAACUAAGGGAUGCAACAAAGCCAACAAGCUCUGUUUCAAAGAAAUCCAUCACAAAUGGUAGAGACCUUGAAAAUUUUCAUUAAGGUCACUCAAAGUAGCUUUGCUAGGGUAAAUAAGACCCUUGAAGAAAUGAGUAGAAACUAGGAUGCGUCUAUCAAAAUUUUGGAGAUGAAGAUUGGUCAAUUAUCCAGACAAGUAGCUACUUUUCCAAGCUCAAGUGGAGGAUUCACCAGUAACAUUGUUGAUAACCCUAAGAAUGAUAACCCUAAAUAUAGGUUUAGGGGAAAUUACUGAAAAGGAUAAGGAGGAGAUAGUUAAAGAACGUGUGGUUAAGAUAGAUGAGGGUACAAAUCAAGGUGACCAAGAGGAAAGAGGAGACAUCAUUGAUCAACUUAUUGACAAAAAUUCUCCUCGGGGGAGAACAAAGAAGCAGAUCAUGACUGAACCAAAUCCUCCUUUACCAGAUCACGUAAAACCACCGUACCCAAUAAUUAAAAAGAAAGUGGUUUAAGAUGAUGAAGCGAGAAUGUUUGCAAAGUUCAAGGAAAUUCUAGCUACUCUCCGGGAAAGUAUUUCGUUCCAUGAAAUUUUAGAACUAAUGCCUAAGUUUGCUAAAUUUAUGAAGGCGUUACUAAAUGGGACGGAAGAGAAAAGGAUCAAGGAACAUGUAAACAUGACCGAAAAGAAUGAUAUGGUAAAACCUCAAUCCUUACAACCUAAACUAAAAGACUCAAGUAAAUUUAUGAAGGAGUUAUUAAAUGGGACGAAAGAGAAAAGGAUCAAGGAACAUGUAAACAUGACCGAAAAUGAUGAUAUAGUAAAACCUCAAUCCCUACAACCUAAACUAAAAGAAUUAGGUAAGUUUACUAUUUCCUAUAAUAUUAGUGGAUUCAAUAUUCUGCAUGCUCUAUGUGAUAUGGGAUCUAACAUAAAUGUCAUGCCACCGAAAACUGUCAAAGAAUUAAAAGUGGGUGAGAUCACACCGAGUAACAUGACUCUCAGUCUAGUUGAAUUGUCUAUUACUCAUUCAAUUGGUACUUUACGCGACAUAUUAGUACCUAUCGACGACUUAUUGUUUCCUAUAGAUUUUAUAGUGCAUGAUACAAAAGAAGAUUCGGGAGGAUCUAUUAUUCUUGGACAUCCAUUCUUGGCAAUCGGGAAAGCAAAAGAUUGAUGUGUAAACUGGUCAACUUAUCUUGAAGUCAAAUAAAAGGAAUGUGGUUUUCAAGGUAUAUGACUGGACACCUUAUGUGGAUAAUUUGGAUACUUUCUACUAUCUGGAUGAAAAAGGUAGGAAAGUAGAUAAAGGAACAAUGAGAAAGAAAGUGACAGGCGUGAGGGUGUCCCUUGCGCCUGACGUACCUUAGACAUGGAUUAUCAAGCUAGUGAUGUUAAAAAAGUGUUUGAUGGGAGGCAACUCAUCAAUAAGAAUUUAUUUUUUUAUCAUAGUGAAUAUUAAUUUUUCUAACCUUGUUAAUUUUUGUGCUAUGUUAUUGGAAGAGAAAAUAGGUGAAAGAAGAAAAGAAAGAAAAAGCAAAAGGGAAGAAAAUAGAAAAAGAAAAGAGAGAGGAAAGUUUCAUCCCCCAGAAUCAUCACGUAUGAUAAUAUAAACUAGUUCUUUACAAUAAUAAAAUUUGAUAUUUAUUUAUACAAACACAAUUAUAUAAAGAGAAUAACACACAAAUCACACAUGAUAAUUUUAGAAUAAUUAUACUCUAAUAUUUUUUGAGUCGUGAUAUAUCCUCUUCUUAAAUAUUUGAAAGUUGAAUCUCUCUCACUAAUCUCUAUUCCCCUAUUUAUUUUAAGAAUAAACAUAUUGAAUUAAUAAAACAUAAUUGCACCUUUCUUAAAGGUUAUACAAACAACUACUAAAGUUGAAAAAACUAAAGAGAGGUCAACUCAAUCUUUAUCAAAUUAAAUUAAAGUUUAUUAUAAAACACAAACAACUAGUUCAUUCAAAUGAUAACUUGUUUAGUACACAAGUAAGAUCUUACUUAAUACAUAGAAAUAAGAUCUUACAGAAUAUAGAGAUUAAAAACAUAGGAAUAACAUGAAAAGCUUUUAAAAUGACAUAGACAUUGAUUAACAAAGAUAUGAACUAGUUUCGGGUAUUUCUUAACCAUCCGUCAAGGUAAACUUGUUUGGAGUCAGGGGUGGAUUUUGCUUUCUCGACUCGGAUAUCUUUCAACCAUCCAUCAAGGUAAACCUGGUUGUUGUCAGAGGUGGAUUUUACUGUCUCGGCUCGGAUAUCUUUCAACCAUCCAUCAAGGUAAACUUGUUUUGGAUCAGAGGUGGAUUUUGUUUUCUCUGCUCGGGUAUCUUUCAACCACCCAUCAAGGUAUACUUGGUUGGAGUCAGGGGUAGAUUUUAUUCUCUCGUUUCGAUAAUCUUUCAACCAUCCAUCAAGGUAAACUUGGUUGGAGUCAGACAUGGUUUCUGUUUGCUUUGCUCGAGUAUUUUUCAACCAUCCAUCAAGGUAAACUUGGUUGGAGUCAGAGGUAGAUUUUUCUUUCUCAGCUCGGGUAUCUUUUAACCAUCCAUCAAGGUAAACUUGUUUGGAGUCAAGAUUUUUCUUUCUCAGCUCGGGUAUCUUUUAACCAUCCAUCAAGGUAAACUUGUUUGGAGUCAGAGGUGGAUUUUGUUUUCUCUGCUCGGGUAUCUUUCAACCAUCCAUCAAGGUAAACUUGAUUGGUGUUAGGCAUGGACUUUUCUUUCUCAACUCUGAUAUUUUUCAACCAUCCAUCAAGAUAAACUUGGUUGGAGUCACUUGUAGAUUUUGUUUUCUCAACUCGGGUAUCUUUCAACCAUUCAUCAAGGUAAACUUGGUUGGAUUCAGAGGUGGAUUUUGCAUUCUCUGCUCUGGUAUCUUUCAACCAUCCAUCAAGGUAAACUUGGUUGGAGUUAGGUGUUGACUUUUCUUUCUCAACUCUGCUAUCUUUCAACCAUCCAUCAAGAUAAACUUGGUUGGUGUCACCUGUAGAUUUUGCUUUCUCAGCUCGAUUAUCUUUCAACCAUCCAUCAAGGUAAACUUGGUUGGAUUCAGAGGUGUCUUUUGCUUUCUUUGCUCUGGAAUCUUUCAACCAUCCAUCAAGAUAAACUUGAUCGGAGUUCUGGGAGGAUUUGGUUUUCUCUGAUCGUGUAUCUUUCAACCAUCCAUCAAGAUAAACUUGGUUAGAGUUAGCAAUGUGUUUUCGACUCUUCAAUGGAUUUUUGAGCCAACCAUCAAGGUAAGGUUGAUCAGCUUGUAUUUCUUGUACAUUCUCUUGCUGAAGUUUGAUAUAUCGGGCAAAGCUUCCUUGUCCAUUCUAUAAUACAAUUGAAUAAAUGGAUAUUAGUGAGUUAUUUUUGGAUGGUAUAUAUGAUUACAAAAACAAAAUUAUGUGUUUUAUGAGACACAUUAUGUUACAUAAAUAAGACACAUUCAUUGUAUAUUUCAGAUGGAUAUAGAAUGCGAAAUAAAAAUCAAAGAAAAACAAUUUUUUAAAUUUCAUUGCCGCAUAGAAAAUAUUAUUUUGUCAAAUUAAAUAGAACAACUUGAUUAAGUGAAUGAUGAAAUCAAAUCAAAUAAAGAUGCAAAAUGAUAGAUUGUGAUAAAUAAAUGAUGAAAAAUAUAUGUGUAAAAGAUACAAGAAUGGAUGCAUAACUUACAAUCAAUAAGAGCAUGAUAAAAGGGAGGAGAGACAAAACAUCUUUGUUUGUCAUUUCUUUAAUGUUAUGAUUUUGUGGGAAAAUUGUUUUAAUGUAAAAAGAUGUAUUGAAAUGGAAGUGAAUUGUGCUAUUUAUAAGUGAAUGAAAAGAAAAACUACAUUAAGGACAUUGAGACUUUGGUUGGCAAGAUUAUUUUUUUAAAUAUUUAGUUUAAAUUAUUUUUUAAAUGUUUAGUUUAAUUGAUAAGUUUAUAUGUCUAAGAAAGAUCAAUUUACUAAGAUUUAUUAUUUACAAGAUCUAUUAGGUGUGUUGUUUUGAGUUAUAAAAAAUAUUAAAAAAAUUGUUUGUUUGAUAUAUUUUUUUAAUUAGAAGCUCCUAACUAAAUCCUCUUAGUUUAAAAUAAAUAAAUUUUAGAACUGCUACUGCAAUUAUUUUUAUUUUAAAAUUAAAAAUGAUUUUCUAAAAAUCCUUAAUAAAAACAUAUUAAAAUGACAAAGGUGAUUUUGUUAAAUGUUAAACAAACAUUUAUUUUGAUAAGUUAUUUCAAAUAACUUAAAAUUUCAUAAAUUUAUUUUAAUUUAUAAUUAAAGUGGUAAUUAUGAUAAUCUCGCCUCUUGAGUUCUAAUAUUUGAGCUAAUAGUAUAAAUAUGUUUUAGUUGAAUUAGAAUUUGCAUUAGUGAUAGUUUCAAUUUUACAAUUAAUUAGACUAAAAUAUUGAUGUUCGUCAUAUAUAUAUAUAUAUAUAUNUAUAUAUAUAUAUAUAUAUUAAAUAGUAAUUAUAUAUUAUAAAUUUUAAUUUUGGGAAAAAAAUAUUAUUUCAAUAUUUUAAAAUUUUAAUAAUUAUUGUUUUAUAAAAUUAAUUAUAAUGAGUAUAAUAUUUUAAUUUUAUUAUCAUCAAAUAUACCCUACAUCAAAAUUCACAAACUUUAAAUAUAAAUAUCGGGAUCCACUUAAUUGAAUUGGAAUUUAAACAUCAAAAUUUAGACAAAUGUUAAAUUUUGAAGCACUUGGUUUUUGAAUCAUGACUCUUCUACAACCAACUCCUAGGGACUUACUACAUAGCCAACAAUGAAUCCAAAAUAGUUUCACAAGAAACACUAAAAUACUGUGUUGGCCUUUGCAUGUUUAAGAUGUUCACAUGUAGCUGGGGUUUGCGUGCUUAUGAGCUUACCUAAUAGUAAGUUAAAAAAACAAUAUAUUAUUAUACUGACCAGUCUAAAGAGAAAUAGAUAAGUUACUGUAUUUGUUAUUAUAAUCAAAUAUUAUCUAAAAAAGAAAUAAAUUAUAAGGAAUAUGUUUUCAUUAUUUUUAUCUUUAUUUAAAGAAUAUAAAUAUUUUUUAAUUAAUGAUAAAUAAUUGAUUUUAAAUGUGAUUACGGUUUAUAUCUUUAUCUAAGAAAAUAAAUGAUAAAAUGUGAAUACUCAUAUCUAAAAUUAAAUAUUUAUCCAAUUAUGUAGGCCAGCCUCAUAUUUAUUGUAAAAAUUUUAACAAAGUUUAAAAUAAUGAAAAUUAGAAUAAUGGUAUUCCUACAUUAAAUCUUACAUCAAAUACUUACAUUAAAUAUUUUUUACCGUAUUUAAACGAUGAAUAAUAUUUUUAUUUUUAAUAAAAAAAUAUUUAUAUAAAAAUGUUUUUAUUUUUAAAAUUAUUUUUAUAAUAAAAAUAUAAAAUUUAUCACAAAAUAAUUUUAUUAUCGUAUUAACUAUAAAAAUAUAGGUUAUAAAUCACAUAUUUCACUUAUAAUUCAUUAACCAGUAAAAUACAUAAUAUUAAUCAAAUUAUGAUAUUAAAAUAUGAAAUAUAUAAUUUGCUUAAUUAUUAUAUUUUAUAUUUUAAUGUCACAAUUUAUUUAUAUUAUUUAUUUUAUUAAUUGAAUAUAAUAAUAAGUAAAAUAUAUGGUUAAUCAUCUAUAUUUUUAUGAUUAAUACAAUAAUAAAAUUGAUUAGUGACAAAUUUUAUAUUUAUAUUACAAAAAUAAUUAUAAAAAUAUAUCAAAAACGAGUUUAAGACAACGUAGGAAAAAGUGAAGUGACACUCAAAUAUUAUUUGCUCAUUAAGCAAUCAGUUAAAAUUAAAGUGAAUUAACGAAUUAAGCAUAAAGUUUCACACAAUCAAAAUUAGGGAACAAUAAAUCAAUCGAACAAAACAAAACUACUAAGUUUUGAGUGUAAAAUUUGGUGUAAUAUUAAAAAUUAAAAAAAAAUUGAGGUUUAUAAGAUGUAAAAUUAUUUAUUAAACUCUUUUAAUAAAUUUAAUAUUAUGAUAAUUUAUUAUGAUAAAUAAUAUUUAAAAUAAGAAAAGAUUGAGCUUUUAAAGGAUGAAAUUCUAGUCAUUAGAUUAAAGAAAACAUCACCAAAACCUUAUUUCACAGAUGAAAUCGACUACAUAUAUGAUAUAUCAAUUUUCACGCUAAUAUUCUAUCAAUCACCAUAUUUUAUAGCCAUUAGACUAUUUAAUCAAAAUUAUUCAUAAUAAAUUUCAUUUGAUAUUUACUUUUUAAUAGAUAAUAAAGUAGAUAUAUUUAAUCUUUAUUAAAAAAUUAUUAAACAUUAUUGGUAUUAAAUAUGAUUUUAUUAAUUUUAAUUUUGAUAUAAUUAAUGGAUAUAAGUAUUGGCUCAAGAUAUAUCAAAGCCUUUGCCAAAUUUUUAACAAAGAUUUUAAUAAUAAAAAUUAUGAGUGUAAUAUUUAAAAUAAAAAAUUGAGCUUUUUAAAAUGUAAAAUUAUUGAUUGAAUUAUCAUAAAUCAGUUAAGUGUGUAUUUAUGCAAGAUGGGACAUCCCAUUUGCAGGGGCACAAAUUCAACCCACAACAUCUCACUUUUUAUCUUGGAAAAUUCCAAUCAAUAAAUUACUUGAUCCAAAAAAAUCAUAGUAAAUCUUGUUUGAUAUUUAUUUUCAAUCAAAUAUAUGUAAUCCUUAAUGAAACCUUAAACAUUAUUGAUUUUAAAUAAGAUUUUAUUAACUUUAAUUUUAUACCAUUAAUAGAAGGACUAUAUUCUGGAACGAAUUAAUAUAUUUUCGUUAUUCUUAUUUUUAUUUAAAUAUUUAAAUAUUAUUUAAAUUAAUAAUAAAUAAUUGGUUUUAAAUGUGAUGAAGUUUAUAUCUUUAUCCGAAAAAAUAAACGAUAGUGAAUAUUUAUAUUAAAAAAUAACACAAUACACUUAAAUAUUUAAUCUCCUUAACCUAUCUAAAUAUCUAGGCCGGCAUAAGACAUAUUGAAGUUUAGUGUAAAAAAUUUAACAAAGCUUUUAAUUAUAAAAAUUAUGACUGUAACAUUUAAAAUAAAAAAAAUUGAACUUUAUUAUUAGAUGUCAAAAUAUUUAUUAAACACUCUUAAUAAGUAUUAAAUAUAAAUUUAUUAAAUUUAUUUUUGAUACAAUUAAUGAAUAUAAGUACGGGCUCAAGAGAUAUACACGCCUUUGAUAAAAAAUUUAACAAAGAUUUUAAUUAUAAAAAUUAUGAAUAUAACAUUUAAAAUAAAAAAGUUGAUCUUAAAAGAUGUAAAAUUCUUUAUAAAAUUAUUAUAAUAGUUUUUGAUUAAUUAAUAUGCACAGUCAAUAUCAUUUUUUUAUUAUUAUUAUUAUUAUUAUUAUUAUUAUUAUUAUUAUUAUUAUUAUUAUUAUGCGUCGGUGUACAACUCAUAAAAAAAGACGUCAAUCAUAAAUAUAUAUUGGUACAGUGUCGUCAAUUGGAUUGACGCAUCCUCGUAGGUGUUAUAUGCAGGGAUGAAGCUAGAGAUUUUGAACUGUAGGAGCAAUAUAUUAAUAUAUAAAUUUAUUUCUAUUUAUUUUUAAAUCAUAAAUAUAUAUUUAAUUUAUUUUUAAAUCAUAAAUAUAUAUUAUAUCUAUUUUUUAAGAAAUCUAUCUCUAAAACAAUUUUUAUUAAUUUUUUAAAAUUUUAAAAUUUUAAAAUUUUGUAAAUUUUAAAAUUUUAUUAUCAAGAAAAAUAUUUUUUUAUGUAUUUUUUAUGAGAUCAUAAUAUUAACAUAAAAUUCUAUAAAUCAAUUUUUUUAAAGAUCGAGGAAAAAAUUAUUUUAAAAUUAUAACAAGAAAAACAAUUCAAUAUAUUUCAUCUGACAUGUUUUAAUUUAAUUAUUGAAAAUAAAAAAUUCACUAUAUUUUUGGACAAUAUCCUAAAUAAAUAUUCAUAUACUUUAUUAUUUUCAUCUAAUUUUUAGUAAUAUCUUCAUAAUAAUAAUAUUAUUUAUAUAAAUUUAAAAUAAUAUAAAUUUAUAUAUAUAUAUAUAUAUAUAUAUUUAUAUAUAUUAUAUAUAUAUUAAUAUAUAUUAUAUAUUAUAUAUAUAUAUAUAUAUAUAUAUAUAAUAUAUAUAUAUAUAUAUAUAUAUAUAUAUUAUAUAUAUUAUUUAUAGUAGGGACCAUUUGUCUUAUGCUAUUUUAAUUUGUUAUUUCUUAAUUUCCCCGUCUAUUUCAGUGUUUGGAUUAAAAAAAGGGGGGGGUCGGGGGUUCCCUCUUGGGGGUGGGUUUAGUAUUUUAAUGUUUUUUUACUUAAUAUUUCUUUUGUGUUUUUCACAUUCUUCUAUGUCUUAGAUUGACGUCUUCUUUAUUUUGAAAGUGGGUUACUCUCAGAAAUAAUUGAAAAAGUAAAUUAUUUUAGAUAUCUAUUUGAAAAGUUAGAAAAUCUUAAAUAUUAUUCAUUUUAAAUAAUAUUUUAUUAAUAUAAUUUUUAAUACCAUUAAUAGAAGGACUAUAUUCUGGUAUCAACCGAAAGGAUUAUAUUAUUGGACUAUUUUAAAUUUCCUAUUAUAUUGUUGUCGUCUAUUAUCAAUUUAUUUUAUCAAUAAAUCACUAUUUGAAAUUUUAUUAGUAUUUAAGUCUUUAAAUUCAUCUACACCUUUGACUUCUACUAUUAAUUUUCAUUUUCAUUUUUUUAAUGUUUAUAUAACUGGUACAUUGUUAACUUGUUUAUUUAAUAAACAUUAAGCAAUAUUUUUAAAUUAACUUUUUAAUUUAUUUUUAUAAAUUUAUCUAAAGUUCCCUUUUAUAAUUUAAUUAAAAUUUCAACUCUCUUUUUUUAAUUUCUAAUUUUUUUUAUUCAAAUUUUUUUAAUUGACAUUACUCUAAAUAACAUAAUAAAACAAUUUCCACAAUAAACACAAACAAAAAAAAAAUUCAAAAAUAAGAUAAUUGAUUAAAUAUAAAUGAUUUAAAUUAAAAGUAAAUAAAAUAAAAUUGCAUAAAUAAAAUAUAAUUUUAUCCUUUUACAAUGCUAGAGAGGACAUACACUUUAUCAUAGAAGUAACGAUUAAUUAAUGGAGAUGAUGAAUUAACAUAUUUUAUACUCUCAUAUACACAUUUUAGGUUGGAAAUGAUUUGAUAUAAUCCUUUAUCUAACCUGUUUAAAUUUUAAUGGGUUGAAUUUGUCGUUCAACCCACAAUUUCAUUGUCAAAAUUGACAGAAACCGACUUGUUUAUUUAAGGGUUGUGUUCGCGAUGUUUUAAAUAAAAAUUAUUUUUUUAUAUAUUUUUUAAGAUAUAAAAAAUUUAACCCAAUUCAAAUUAGAUGAAACACAUCAUAUAAUGUCUAAUAAAGUUCAUCAACACGACAUAACACUCGAUAAUAGUAUUAAAUUCUAAUAGUAUCAAUGUUAAAUUAUUUUAAAACAAUUAUUUUAAUUAACUCUUUAAUCAUAACAUUUAUUUAUUAUAUUUUUAUAAUACAUUAUAAUAAAUAUAUUAUAAAUAUUCUUAUUUUUAAUUAGAAAUAUAUAAUGAUAAGUUAAUUAAAUAAUUAUGGUUUGUGAAAAACAAAAACAAAAUCAACGUCAAAGUUAUAUGCUUCAACAAUUUAUAUAAUGACUCAUUUUUAAAUAAAAUAGCUUUAAAAAUUAAAAGUUUGAAAAAUAAUAGUUGAUAUAUUAUAUAUUUUAUUUAUUUUUAUGUUGACAAUAUAAAACAUAGACAUUAAUUUUAUUCUUUAACCAUAAUUUUUAUAAUAUAUUAAAAUAAAAAGUAGUUAAAAUUAACUAAUAAAAUUAAUUAUAAAUAGUUUAAAUAAUUUAAUUAUUAUCAAAUAAAAAUAUAUAAAAUAUUUAUUUAGUAAAGAAUAUUAAAACGAAUAACAAAUUAUAUGAGAUGAUAUGACUUUUUUAUAAUCUUUUGUUUUCUUAAGUUAAAUUAUUUAGUAGAUAAAAAAAAAAAUUAAAAUUGAUAUAUUUCUCUCUCUUCUUUAAAUGAUAUUUUUUUUUCUAUUUCUUACCUUUUAAUAGUUGGAUUAAUCAAAUGGUUUAAAAUUGCACAUGAGAGAGGGCAUAAGAGAAAAAAUUGGAGAGGAUCCAAUUCCGAUAAAAAGAUGUGGUAAAUUUAUGAGUAGUUUAAUAAUUUAUACAUAUUUUUAGCCUUAUUAAUUGUCACUUCGUUGAAAAAGAAAAAGGAAAUAAUAAUAAUGAUAGUGAUAAUAAUUAAAUAAUAUUGAAUUUUUUGACAAAUAAUGUUAUUAAAUAUUAUUGAAUAUAAUAGAUGAAAGAGAAAAAAAAAUGAAGAUCUUUGUCUGGCUUACCUCCUCGUUGAAUAGGGUAUGCUAACUAUUAAUAUGCCAAAGCCUCUUUAAAAAAUUAAACAAAUCAAUUAUAGGAUCCGAUAACUAUUAAGGAAUUUCUUAUGUCAUCAUAUGAAAUGGAAAAACUAUACAAAAUUUAAAAUAUUCAUUCAAGUUUAAAGAUGCAUCUUCGAAUACACAUUUGUAUCACCUUAUGACGCACUAAAUGAGCGACACCCUAAAGUAAAAUAAAAUCUUAUUCCAAAGAUACAUCUCUGAGUAUUUUGAACAAAUAUAUUGAUAUUUAAGCAAGCGUCCUCAGCAUGACCAGAUACCUGUAUCAUACACUCAGUUGCUGUCGUAUCUUGUCCAGUAAGGGGCAAUUGCGCCAAAAGAGAUUCCGCAUGCAACUCCUCCCUAAAAUCACAAGCAUAAUCCUAAUGUGCCUUGUUCAUUUCAUGUCGGAUACAUAGGGCAUUCUAUAGAGGAUUAUUUGGUCCUCAAGGCCAUAAUGCAAGAGUUAAUUGACCAUAAGGUUUUGUCAUUCUUUGACGCAUGACCCAAUGUCAUAAACAACCCGUUGCCAGACCACUGUGGACAAAUAGUGAAUGCAGUUAGUGGCGAAGAUUGCUCAGAUUCAGUUGCUUCUUCAGAGGAGUAUCGAUGCUAGCAAUAUCAUAUUGAUUCAAUCAUGUAUCAUUUGUAAUCCUUUCUUGUUUUUUAAAUGUUGUUCAUUUGUAACUUGUCUGGUUUUUCAGAUGAUAAUAAUAAUGAAAUAAACGUGCAUGUUUUGCUUAAAUCCAUUCGUGUCCACUCAUAUUUUAUUUUAUCAGUAUCAAACUGUUUGUCGAACAAAAUCAAAAGAGAAUGAUGCAAUUAAAAAUACGCAAGAUCGCUGCCUGUAUGGUUUUGAAUAAGAUCGUGCUGAUGAUGUAAGGCAUUGUUCAAUCCCUAAACACCGGAGAUAUAAGGAAGAUAAUCCCUAGUCAACCCCUUUGGGUAUUGUAAUAGGAGUUUCUUUCUUGAACACAUAAAACCCUCAUGCUUAACCAGGGGCAGAGUAUUCUUCAGUUAGUUUAGACUUGCAUUCAAAUUUAAGAAGGACAAUAUCUCAUCCAGUGAUCAAUCAUAUCAUAUCCCUCUCAAGAGGAUGGAAUCAUAAAUCCAGGAUGGUUAUCCCUUACCCAUCAAAAAGAGUGAGAUAAUCACGACUCGUGCAACAAAUCGAGAAAGCUGUGUCACAAGGUUUUCUCUAGUACAAAAAUAAAAGAUGAAACAAAAUUAAAAGCCCGCUAAGUCAAAAGCUUGAAAACAAGAUUGACUUAGGCAAAAGUCAGGGUAUCCCGGUGGGAUGCAGACCCAAAGGAUCAGCCUAGGAAAAAAUAAGGGUAAACAAAACAAAAGAAUUAGAGGAUCAAUACCAAAAUUCGUAGCGAGAGCAAAUCCCUGUGACUAUAAACAAAAGCAGAAGGCGAGUGGCUAUCGCUCUAAAUUCUCGUGGAUUCCUUAAACCAUCAUUGUUGAUAUUCAAAAUCCUUUCUGAAAGACGAACGCUUAUUUUAAGCUAAUUGAAUAUAGAACUAGAUAACAUCACACAGAAUGGGUGGGUUAGAAUAGGUUUUGAGCCUUAUAUCCUUUCUUUCUGAAACCGUGAACUAGGCCAAGUUACAACCCUCAAAAGACCUAAUUGAAGUAGGGUUUAUUUCAAAAGCAUACUAUGGUAAGAUCGCGUUAAGCUGACUCCUUAAGAUUUUCUUGUCAUAUGUUUGAUACUGAUAUGGCAUUCUAAACAGUGAUUUGUUCACUAGAUGUCAUAAUCUUAGUGAACACACUUGAGUUUUCAAAACUUGCAUGAGCAUGACAUUACAAUUAUCAUUUUAAAAAUGAGCGUUUUACAUGCGAACAUGCAUUUGACACCAAGGAAGCUUACAAUGGGAAAGUUGAUCAAAUUCCUAAUAUCCCAUAGCUCAAAUCUCUUCAAGAGCCCGUCAAUCUAAGGCACCAUGCCAAGAUUUUGCAAAUCUCUCUGAAUCAGCUGUAUAAGGGAAAAGUUUAAUUCGAAGUUCAUAUUGGGGAAGGCCACCUCAAGAGCAUGAGAAGUCAAUCACUCCUAAGAUAAUUAACUAGGAGGAUAUAGUUUCAAGAUGCUGGGGCAAGCCAGUUUGAGAUACUCAGAUGACGAGAUCACUCUAAUUUGUAAUUGGAGAAAUUGGUGCAGAUAUCCAAUACAUUGGGGCAGAGGCAGGCUACGCAGGUACAAGCUCUCUCCAUGUUCUAGACAUAAUCCAGAGGUGUGACAACAAUUUUUCAGCUUGAAGUAGGUUCGAAGAAUCACGUCUGGAGGAUACCAUAUCCUAGCCAAAAAUUUCCACCUCCCUCUAUAUGAGCACCUGGAUUAACCAUUGCAUAAAUCAUUAUCAUGAAUAAAUCACGUCGCUUCACUCAUGCAUACCAUUCAUCUAUCAUAGCAUGAAGCCGUGUGUGAGAAUCAAAGGAAUUAAAGCCCAGUAUUUUAUUGGCAUCUCCAAAUUCCAAACUUGCCUGGUACCUUUUUAAACCAUCUAGUUUGACAAUUCUUCCAAAAUCCAAUUUGCUUGGCGUCUUUUAAGCCCAGUUUGCUUGGUAUCUUUUUUCGACCUUUAGGGUCGAUGAUCCUCUUUUCCAACAUUCAUGGUUGAGGAACCUUUUUUCAAUCUUCAGGAUUGAUAACCUUUUUCCAAUCUUUAGGGUUGACGAUCUUUGUUUCUAACCUUCAUGGUUGUUGAAUCUUUUUCCCACCAUUAGGGUGAUGAUAGACUUUGUUUCCGGCCUUUAAGGUUGAUGAUCCUCUUGCUUUCAACCUUUGCGGUUGUUGAAUCUUCUUCCAACCAUCAUGGUUGUUGAAUCUUUUUCCUACCUUUGUGGUUGUUGAAAAUUUUUCCAAACCUUCUUGGUUGAUGAACUUUUUCAAUCUAUGUGAUUGACAAACUUUUUUCCAAACUGUAAGGUUGAUGACCUUUCUUUUUUUCAAACCUCUGUGUUUGACUUUGUUUCCAGUUUUUGAACUGAUGAUUCAUUUGUGAAACCCCUUGUUUGCAAGAAUAUUUUGGAACUUUCAUGCGCUCUUUGAUUAGCAUACAUGGCCACAUGUUUCAAAAAUGAUAAAAAAAAAUACAAUUUAGCAUGCAUAUCAUGAUCGUCAUUUGCCAUUAAUAUCCCCACAGUACAUCAAAAUCACCAGCAAAUAAACCCGUAAAAAAUCAAGUUGAUAUCCCUAUAUCUCAUACAAUUGUCCUUCAAGGAAAAAAAUUCGGAUACUUCGAUAUUUAAUCCACGCAUACCUUAAAAAGCUGAAAAGCUCUCGCAAUUCGACCAUUCAGGUCUAAGCUGAUUAAAUAGGGGCAGAUGUCGUAUCCUAAAUUUGUCCUCCCUAUUUCAUCUUUCCACUCAAUUUAUCAACUUGAGAUUCAUCUGUACCACAUUCAUAUUUCAUUCAUAUGCAUCAUUCAUUAAUCAUACAUUCAAAGCUUGUGGCCUGCAAAUCUAAGGUUUGUUGAUGGGACAUGGCUCUUCAUAGGCUCAUCAUGUGAGGGGAAACCCUAAUUUCAUACUCUUUUAGACUUUGAUUCAAAAAGGUUACAAUCACGACAUUCAUUUAGUCAUUCAAACCCUUAUUCCUGACUUUGUUGUCUUUCGGUCUCACAAGCUUUCACCUGUGUAUCAUGAAGCCCUAAUCAGGGAAGAUUUGGUCCGGUUGCACCUUAUGGCUUGACUUUUCAUCUUGUGUGUGCUGGAAACCCUAAUUCAUUAGGGAGAGGUGUUUGACUAUCCUAUUAUGCAUGCCUACUGGUUUGGAAUUGCACAUGAUUCAGGUCUUGUUUCAAGCAUCCCUAUGCCCAUCACAUUUAACUUUGCAUAGGCCAUUAACUCAAGUCUUUUGGUAUGGGCAAAUGCAUAGACCCAUAUGCCCGAUUCACUUCAUUCAUAUGAUGCAGAUGAUCAAGGAUGAUUGGUCCAUUUAAGAUUUGGUUCCAUUGGUUCAUUCUUUGUUUCUUAAGCAAAAUCAUUAUUUCAUUUGAAUUAUGUCAUGUGAAAACCCUAAUUCAAAUUUCACAGUUGACUUCGAUUAACUAGUUUACCAAAGUCAACCAUCCCUUUUUGAGUCCAUUAAACUUUUUCAUUAAUCAUUCACACUUAAUCACAUUUUUCGAGCUAUUUGAUGCAUCCAAUUCAUUCAAUUUUCAAAUGUAAUUUUGACCAUUCCAAACAUUUUAACCAUUCAAGGUUAACAAUUUAAGUUCUAUAAACCAUCUUCUUUUACAAUAUAUUUCCACUCAUAAACUUUCCAUAAGCAUUCAAAAUUUUCCAUCAUAAAUAUCAUUCAAUACAAUAAACUUGUCCAUGGUUCGCGCAUUUAAUCCUUUCUUUCCAUCAUUUAUUUGCAUUGCAAUUCUAUUCAUCCAAAGUAUCAAACUUUUCAUAAUCACCAAGUUCCAUUCCAAUACAUUCAAGUUUUACCUACAACUUUCCUUUACAAUUAUUACAAACCAUUGUUUUACAUUGUUACACUAUGUAUCAACCAUAUCCUACAUAACCAUAUUAACCAUUCCAAAUGAUCAAGCAAGAUAGAAUUUCAUUCACUAACCAUACAAGAUAUCUCAAGCAUACAUUUCCAUUUCAAGCUACAUUAUAAUGCAUCAUAAUCCAACAAUAUCAUGAAGCAGCCCAUGGCCUCUUAUGCAUUCACUAGAAAUAUUUCCAUAGCACAAAUUGGCCAUGUCCCAAAAGAUAAUGCACAAAAAAAGCAUGAAAUAUCAUGAUUCUGUUAGGCUCUGUUUUGAAAUUAUUUACCUGAUGAACAACAGACAUAAAUGCCGAUCGAGGUUAUAUGGAAGCUUCAAAUACUGAAAAAGAAAACACACCCAUUGCAUUGAUGGCUACAGCUCUUCCUUUGAAACGCCAUUGAAGCUUCAAUUCGUGGAGCUUAAACCACUGCACCUCUUCGACCUCACGCGGAAAACGCAACAACAGCAUAUGCUUAGAAGAACAGAGGGAGAGGAAUAAGAUUGCAGCAACAUAACAGAAAGAGUGAAGGAACAAAAUUGAGACGAAGAAAAAGGGAAGAGAUCGGUCAAUACCUGUUCGCAGUUGAAGCAUCAAAUUUGGUAAGUCCUUUUGAUUUUCUUUUCUUUCUGUUUAAGUCCGCGAGCACAAUGUUGGAUGGAAUCACAUGUCGAUGAGGUUGAACACAAUCCAUGAACUCUAUUAUCUGUUAGAAUUAGAAUAUUAGGUUAUUAAGUGACAAUUAGAAAUUGUGAUUUAAUUAGAAUUCUAGUAUUGAUAGAUUUUGGAUUUUCAUUAGAAUUAAUUAGAAAUUUUAGAAUUUAACUAGGGUUUUAGAAUCUAUUUUAGACUAAUUAGAUUUUCACAUAAUUAUAUAUAAUUAUAAUUAAUUAGUUUUUGAUUAAAUGUUGAUUAUUAGAAACUAUUUUCCUAAUUAAUCCAUUUAUGCAUAUUGACUAUUUUACCCUUUAGAGGUUAUGUUUGUCAUUUUAGCCAUAAGGACAUGUUCCUUUAGGUUUAGAUCUUGACAUCAAUUUUUAAUCAAGUCUUGACCAAUUAUAUCAUGAUCCCUUAGGAUAGUUUGUAACAAAUUCUAACCAUUAGAUUAGGAUUUAAUCUAGUUUUCAAACUAAUUCAAACCUUCUGAUUCAAAUUGAUCAAAAGCAAUUUUGAUCAAUUAAAUCAUUUGAUAUUGUAUAAUCCCACAGUCUAAUUUGAGUGACACAAAUACUCUUGGUCACCUAAUGAGACUUUUUCGGUAAGUUGUGGAGCUCGAGGCCUCAAGUCAUAUUUUCAAUCAAGGCAUCAUCGGUCAGACCAAGCAGUGGAUAAUACAAGGUACAUCAAAGGUGGCAUCUUUGAGAGCUUGUCAAAUCAAAGUUAUGAUUGUGUGGCAUGAGCCUUGAGUAAUGAAGAAAGAAUGAGACUGAAGAAUUCCUACCCCCAUCAACACAAAGGGCAUCAUGUCAGCAACUUGUUAAUUUUGAUUCAAGUUGCAUGCCAUGAGCCUUAAGAAACAAAGAAUGAUGAGAGUGGGGAAUUCCUAUCCUUGUCUAGAAUAUUCUUGGGUACGGGACGAAUGACCCAGUUGCUCAAAGUAUUCGCCUUUUUCCAUAGACUUUGGUGCAAUUUAAAUCAUGCAAUUGACAAGCCUUCUUCUUCAAGCAAGCAUCAAUCAUUCAACACUUCAAUAGUGAAACACCAUUACCCCCUUUAGUAUUGGACUUUCCUCCUGGAUGUUCAUACAUUUCUUGGGAUUAUUACCUUGGGGUCACAUACCCAUCUCGCAAUCAAUUGCUUCAUGCAUUGCCUAUCAGUUCACACUAUGGCAUACUUCAUUGCUUGCCCUCAACGUACAGACCCUGACAUUCAGCCUAUGGAGUACAUACUCUGGCUUUGUUUCUUCCCCAUAAGGUACAGACCUUGGCAACUUCUUGCAGCCCAUAGAGUAUAGACUCUGGCUUUAUUCCUUGCCUACAACAUACCGAUCUUGGCAUCCUUGCCCUAAUGAGUUCAGACUCUGGCCAUCUGAUUUUGUCUAUACAGUACUGACUUUGACAUAUUAUUAUGCCUUAUAGUUAAGACUUUGGAAUUCAUUCAUCCAGCCCAUUGGGUUCAGACUUUGGCAUCGUACUAUUUUGCCCUUAUGGAGUUCAGACUCUGGCAUUCAAAUCAGUUCAUUUGCCUUAUAUAGUUCAGACUAUGGCAUGCUUAUACAUCUUGCCCAUGGAGUUCAGACUCUGGCAACCUUUAACAUUGUCUUGAAGUCAGACUUUAGAAUUAUAUCUCCUUUUCCCUUAUUGAGUUCAGACUCUGAGAAUCUGUUCCUUGCCUUUGUAUUAGUUCAGACUAUGGAAUUCAUCUAUCUUGCCUUGUGGAGUUCAGACUCUGGCUAUAUCUCAUUUGUCCUUAUGGUUGAUUACCAUCUUUGGUAAGUGUCAUACUCUCGCUUAUUAAGCAAUCACCUUGCCUCUGAGCAAUCCUAUCAAAUCUCCCUUUGCUUUCAGUUGUAGUAGGCUAAACUACGAUUGCUCUGAUUUUCUCAUUGCACGAUGAGAAUACAUAGGCACAAGGGUUCAAAUCCUCCGUGAGCAUACUUAUUUAUUACUCCUACCUUAGGGCAUUUCUCCAUCCAUCUCCAUGAUACAGUCAUAUACUACCUUUAUUCACUUCAUGUGAUAUACCCUAUUCUUUGAGCCAAAUACAUUAUACCUUUGUGCUCCAUCUUGUACCCCUUUGUGAACCAAGAGAUGUUUCUGUUGUGAAACCAAAAUUAAUUUCCUUUGUUUUCGGCUAUACCAUAUAGUGGCGAAUGUUCAGACAAUCCAUAUAUCGGUUUAUUCCAGUUUUACUCUUGGGUUCACGCUUUCACCCCUUGUUGGGGUUCAAAAUAUUAUCCUCUGGUUCAGGCCAUACCUUGAUCACAACUUCCUUUUCAUCUCCCACCACUAGUUCUUUGAACUACGAAGUUAUGAAUUCCUCAUUGCACUAUGAGUAUACAUAGGCAUGAGGGCCCUAAUCCUCACCGAGCACUCUAUCUAUUUCUUUUCAUUUUCCCCAUUCUUUUGCGAGUAAUCUUUAGAUACAACACUCAUUCGAGCGAGAACAAUCAAAACGGUUCCCAUGGAGUACCAUAGAUGUUAGGGAUGCUAAUACCUUCCCAUUGCAUAAUCAACUUCCUUACCCAACAUAUCUCUUUCCCCUGGGUUUUAUCGAUGUGUUCGGGUAUAUUUCCGCUAGCUGCAUCACCAACUCCAAAAUCUCAAAAAAGUGUUUUUAAAGGAACUCGCAUUAGCAAACCACCUCCUUCACCGUCUCUACCAAAAAUUUCAUUCAUUGACGAGAUGUUAUUUUUUUCAUAAAUACAUCGAACAAAUCGUCAAUGUUGAGGGUGACGGUAAUUGCGAUUUUCGAGCUAUUUCGAUUUUGCUGGGUAAAGGAGAAGAUGAUCACACACUUGUCUGCCAUCAACUUAUCCAUGGUUGAGGACCCAUAUAGAAUUAUACACACGACUUUACCGAAAGAAACAAAAUUUUGAUGCAAUUUAUGAGUCUUUUAUUCCUUGCAUUAGUGGUCCGAAACCAGAGGAAAAAUGAAUGUGCUUCCCUGAAAUGAGUCAUCUCAUAGCAAGUGCAUCUGAUAAAGUGUGUAUUGGUCUUACAAGAUACGAUUUUUUGGAAACUUUUUUUCCACUGCGCACCACCCAACCUCAAAAUCUAAAUGAUCGUAUUUUGUGUAUUAGAAUACCUUUAAAAUUACGACACUUUGUUCAAAUUUAUUUGAAACGGGAUGUCGUAUACCACUUACAUCAGUGGAGUGGACAACUCAUUCAACAAUAAAAUCCGGGACUUAGACGGGCCAAUUUAUGGAAAAGAUGCAAGAGUUUACCAAAUUGAGCGACAUUGAAAGUGAAUAUAAUGCACAAAAGUCAAAGGGGGAACCACUCAUACUUAUAAAUUUAGCCAUCGACAAAUAUUUCGAUUCGUUUUAGUUUUUCGUUAUCAAUUAAUUGUAUAUAAUUUUGUAUUAAUAGUAAGGGUUAAUAACAUUUUUAUAGAAACAUUCUAGUUGUACCUUGGGGGGAAUGACCCAUGAUUGAUGCUUACGUGUCAUGAUAAAUAUCAUGAUAUAUUUUAGUUUUUAGUUUUUUAAUUACAUAUAUGCUUACGUGGACUUACAGUUUUUUAUUUAUGAAUUAUUUCUAUUUUCAUGUGAAAAUUUAUUUUCUUUUUCAUUUAUUUUAAUCAUAACAAUUAUCAAAACUACUUUAAGAAAGUUCUAAAAUUUUGUCAACAAUGAAAUUCUCAUACGGAUUUGGCAAGGAACUUUGAAAGGAGAUUUGAAAGCGUGAACCACAACCAUAGAUAGGAAGAAGGAGAAUUAGGGUUCAACAUAGUUUGAACCGUGUUUAUGUUUAUGUUAGGGACCGAUUCGGGCUAGACCCAAUCUAGGUUCGGUUGAUCCACUAACCAUUAGUUUUUUUUUUAAAUUAUUUUGUGAGUAUACCAUUUGUUGUUUGGCCUUACCUAUUUGUGACUUGGGCAAACCCCACUUUAGGAGCCAUCUUGUCUUAUUUAUUUAUUUAUUUUUGUCUUUUCCUCAACCUUUUUUAUUGCAUUAAUAUUUUAGUAAAAGAAUAUAUAAAAAACAUAAACUUUUUCAUGAAAAAAAAGGUGGUUUACAAUUUUAUAAUAAUUGAUUUUUAUUGUUAUUUCAAUUUUUUUAUCAAUAAAUAAAUAAAAGUAGACAAAAUUUGUUUGAUGCGUGCCUUAGGGUUUCUUUUUCCUAUCAAGCUAUAUCUCAAAAGAAGAAUAUUUCUUUAAGAAUUAUUCCUUUUUUUAAAAAUAAAUUUGAUUCCAUUAUGGUUUGAUUUGUUUGAUCUUUAUUGAUUGUGUGAAUGCUUGUAUUGUUCAUACUUGAUCCAUGAUUUAUGUAACCUUUCACUUAGACCUUCGAUUGUUAGUAAGAUAAAAGUAAAUGUGCAAUAAAAUCAACCUUUUAAAAUAAGAUUCAAACACUCUAUCGAUAUGAAUUUGGUUUUAAAAAGAUCUCACUAUUUUCACCAUCCAUUCAAAGUUAAUUUCAAGUCAUCUCACAAAUUAUUUUCAUGCUAACACGAAUAAACCCUCGAUCAACAUCGAGUUUCUUUUUUGCUUAUUAAAAACUUGAAAAUCAUUUUCAUAAUAAAUCAGUUGAAAAAGGAAUGGGAGGCGCACACAUCUCUACUCCUCGAAUAAGUGAGUGAUUGGUAGACUCCAUAUUGCUCUAACUUUCAUCUUCCGAAUAAAAUAUCCUAAAUAAACAUGGAUGAAAAAGGAAGAGAGGCGCACACAUCUCUACUCCUCGAAUAAGCAAGUGGAAGACACACACCUCGCUACUGCGAAUAUUUUUUCUUCCGCAAAUAAUUUUCAAAAUAUUAAAAUCAAACAAAAAAGGAAUGGGAGGCGCACAACUUGUUGCUCCUCGAAUAAGUGAGUGAUUGGUGCGCGCCAUAUUGCUCGAGCUUUCAUCGUCUUCCUACAAAACACUAAACCAAUCAAACCUAUUUUCUCGCCCCCUUCGUUCAUCCCAAGACGAUGUAAACACGCUUCAUUUCUACCAUGCGCAAGAAGUUAUAACUCUUUUCGCUCGAAUGUGACGAGAACAAAUUUGUGAGAAUCUGGAUUAUGUUAUUCAUUCUAAUGUGAUGCCAAUGUUCACUUCUCCAUGUUUUUAGUAGCAAAUAAUGUUUUCGCUCGAAUGCGACUAAGUACCUUUCGUAAAAACUGAUCAACAAACAAAAAAUUUCUACCCAGAACUACGUAGCCUUGAGUUUUUCAUCGCACCUGAGAUAUGUAGAAGCGAGACCCGUAAUCUCGUCAGGCACAUUAAUAAAAGAAAACAUUUUGCGACCCAUUUUGUUUUCUCUUUACACUUUUGACCACUCGAAGAAAACAUAUGACAUAAGCUAAAAUUUCAACCACAAAUCUAACUAAAUGGUUCCCGUUGAGUGUAACAGAUGUGAGGGGUGUUAAUCCCUUCCCCUCGCAUAAUCGACUCCCAAACCUGAAUUUGAUUGUGACAAACAUUUUCUUUUUCUUUUAAGGAUUUUAUCAAUAUUUCCCCUCCUUUUUGGAAUAAAUCAAUUUUGAUGGUGACUCUGUUAUCUUGACCAUGCAAGCGCUCAUGGUCAUUUUUCGCGUCGCGACACUACUGUACAAUAGUUAUCUGUAUCAAAAACUAAAAUAUUUGUGUCUGUAUCUUGUUGUCUAGGAUUGUUGGAAACGAGAAGGAUGGAAAAAUAAAGUGUGUUUAUUUUUCUAUGUUGUAAAAUCACAAGGUGGUUUUUCUUGGUGAUUAAGUUAGAAUCUUGUGUAUAGAAUCUAGGUUUAGGCUUGUACAAAAUAAUAACAAUAUUGAAAUCUCUUAUAGUGUCUAAGGGGACUGACAUACUCUCAGAUUGUGAUGGGAACUAGUAUGAUUUUCGAUGUUAUUUACUUUAUGCACUUUACUGCUUUCACCACCUAACCAUAAACCAAAAAAUAAAGAAACAUUCAUCUCUAAAAACAAUGUACUUACAGCGAGAGCAUGAUAUUCCGCUUCAGUACAUGAACAAGACACAAAAUUUUGUUUCUUUAAGCGCUAUGAAAUCAAGGAGUUACCCCAUAACACAUAAAUGCUAGUGUAUAUUUCCUAGUAUCCAGACAACGUGCCCAGUCGAAGUCAGCAAAACCAUGCAGCUUUAAGGAAUUAUUGCUGGCAAAAAAAUGCCUCGAGUAGGAAAUGCCUUCAGAUACUUCAAAACUCGAGUGGCUUCCUAACGGUGAGGAACCAAGGGGUUAGCCACAUAUUGGCUAAGGUGACGGACAAUAAAAGAAAUACUUGGCCGUGUGUUUGUAAGGUAAAGUAGCCUGCUAAUUAAUUUACAAUAUGAAGAAGGGUCCUCUAAAGGAGUACCUUCACUAGAUGAGAGCUUCAUGUGAGGAUCAAUAGGUGUGGAGACAAGCUAAGCCCCAAGAAAACCAGUGUCCUCAAGCAGCUAGAGCAUGUAUGUUCUCUGGCUGAGAAAGAUACCAGAAGUAGAACGUGCAAUUUUGAGGCCCAAGAAGUACCUUAGUUGACUGAGAUCUUUAAUGCAAAAUUGUUGAUGCAGGAAAGACUUUACUUGUUUAUUCCACAAUCGAGUCGCUUGUCAAGACAAUAUCAUCAAUGCACACUGAUAAGGAAGUGAAACCAUGAGGUGUGAUCUUGGUGUAUAAUGAGUGACCAACAACAGAUUGAGAGUAGCCUAAUGAAAUGAGAGCUGAAGAAAGCUUAGAAUGCCAUUGUCGACUGACCUGUUUCAGUCCAUACAAUGAUUUUUUUAAGUGUACAAACCUUGUUGGAUUCAAGAUUACCAUAGCCAAGAGGAAGAGACAUAUAUACUUCUUUAUUUAGGUCUCCAUGAAGGAAGGAGUUUUUAACGUCCAGUUGCUCAAGGUGCCAGUGUUUGACAGCUGCAAGAGAUAAAAGAACACGAACAAUAGUAAUUUUGGCAAUUGGGAAAAAAGUAUCAAAGUAAACUACAUGUUCUAAUUGAGUGUAACCCUUGGCUACCAACCGGUCCUUGCAUAUAUCAAUAGAGCCAUUGGCAUGGUACUUGACUUUGUAUAUCCAUUUACAACCAACUGGAGUUUUGCCUAGAGGAAGGUCCACAAUGGUCCAAGUUUGAUUGUCCUUAAGAGAUGCAAUUUCAGUAUCCAUGGCCUACUUCCAACAGUCAUGUUUAGAGGUAUGAAGAUAGGUUUUUGGUUUAAAUAUGGAUGAAAUAGAGCAACAAAAGGAUUUGUAAGUUGGAGAGCAUUUUUUAUAUGAUAUAAAGUUGGAGAUAUGGAAGGUAGUGGAAGAGGAGUUAUUUAUAGAGGCAUAUCUAUUUGAUGAAAGAAAGAGAUUACAAUAAUAGUCUUUGAGAAAACUAUGAGGGUGUUUGGUUCUCAUUGAUUUUUGAGUUAGUAGUGUGGAUUGGUUUUGGGGAAUGUCUGAGGGAGGGUUAGAAUUAUGUGGAUACAUGUUAUCAACUAAGGUAUCAUGAAGGAUGUUGGGUUCAAAGUCAAUAACACUAGGAUCUUGGGUACUUGGUGAUGGAUUAAAAGUAGUUUGAUAUGGACUUGAGGUACUAGAGUCAAUCAAAGUAGGUUGAUUGAGACUUGGAAGGUUAGGGAUAAGUCCUGUUUCAGAAGUAAUAGGAUAAUCAUAAGAAUUUGUGACUGGUGUGACAACAGUAGAAGGAGUGGACAUAUGAGGCUCAGGGGUCAGAGUGAGGGCCUGAGGUGUAACAUAGUCAAUGUCAUAGGUGAUGUCCAUCAAGCUAUGAAUAUAAGUAGGGAGAUUUGUGGCAUUACUUUUGAAUGGAAAGGUGGUUUCAUAAAAGAAAACAUUUAGAGAUAUGAAUAAGUUAUGAGACUGAAGGUCAUAGAGAAUAUAACCUUUAGUACCAUCUUUGAAACCAAGGAGAAUGGCUUUUCUAGCCCUACCAUUGAAUUUUGUUAUGUGGGUCUGUAAAGUUGUUGAAAAACAUAAACAAACAAAGACUUUCAAAUGAACAAUAAUAUAUUAAGUUUUGAAAAAGCAACUCGUAUGGAGAUUUUGACUGAAGUUGAGGACUAGGGAUCCUAUUAGUCUUGUGGACAACAUGUUGAAUACUGAAGUUCCAUAGGUUUAAAGGAAUAUGUGUUAAUGUUUUCUCUCAACCACCCCAUUUUGCUGUUUUUGUUAUAGUGGUGGUGGUGGUGUGUGUGUGGCGGGGGGGGGGGUGUUCUACACAAGAUUUAUGGCGACUUAUGCCUUUGGAAGGGAAAAAGGAACUAAGAGUUAGGAACUUUGAACCCUUAUAUGACCUAAAGCAUUUAAGAGUGGUUUUGAAUUUAUUUCCUAUUGAGGCAAUAAAAUGUAUUACACUUUGUUUUGUUUCAGAUUUUUCCUUAAUAAAAUGACCCAUGUAAACCUUGAAAAUCCAUCAAUAAGAGUUAAGAAAUAUUUAUAGCCUAAAAUAGAAUCAGUAGAAAAGGGCCCCCAUAAAUCAACAUGUAAAAGUUCAAAUGGAGCAUGAGUAUGAGUAAGACUAUUUAGAAAGGGGAAUUUCUUUUGUUUUGCAAAAUGAAACGAAUCACAAGGGUUCAUGUUAUUUUUACAAGGGAUGGGGGGAAAAUGUUUAGCCAUAGUUUUCAUACUGAAAUUAGAAAGGUGGCCUAGUCUUAGAUGCCAAAGUUCAAAGGAAUUAGAAAUAACAUAAUUACUAGUGGAAUAAACAUCACUAAUAUCUAUCACAUAGAGGCCUCUGUGCCAUUUAGUUGUACCAAGCAUUUGCUUUGGAUGGUUCUGCAAAAUAUGACACAAGUUUGAAGAAAAUUUCAGAUAGCAAUCAAUAUUGCUAGUCAAUUUUGUGACUAAGAUUAAAUUAACAUGAAAGUUAGGAAUAUAGUGAAAAUUGUAAAGAGUUAAGGAAAGGGAAAUGACAAUGUUUCUAGAUAUGCAGGCAGUCAUGUGAGAUUCAUUUGGUAAGGAGAUUAAGCUAUUGAUUAACUUAACUCACAAAGAAAGAGUCGCCACAACGCUUUUAUUAUUUCCAAAGAAAAUAGAAAAAGAACGAACCAAACCCAAAGAAGUUUAAAAAAAACUAAUAAAAACAAAGAUAAGGGUCCAGGGGUUGGUUAUGUACAGGGAAGAUACUAGCACCCUAAGCAUCUAUAGUACUCUACAGGAACAUCUUUGAAAAUAUGUGCAUUUAGAUUUAAAAUGGUGUUGUUUACAAAAGAUUAGGGAGAUGAAAAGAGAUUUUUUUUUUAUAAUUUUUGUGUUUGCCAAGACUUUCUGAACCUCGUGCCUACGUACCCAUAAAGUGCAAUGGCGAAUCAAAACCUCGUAGUUCGUGGUAAAAAUAACAAAGAUGUUUGCUUUGAUUCAUUUUUAAUGAAUUUUUUUUUGUCAUUUUAAGAAGAACAUUCAACUAGCCAUCCACAAGUAUGGGAACUUUGCAUCACCAUGAGAAGGACUCUAACUUGGAUAAAUAUCAACUAGCUCUCUUAUAUAGAAAAGAAUUAUUAUCAAUACUAUGGGGAUAGAAAAAUUAUAUAUCAACUAUGGAAAUGACUCGUGUCUAAACUUUGAGAAAAAAGUUUUAAAAAGGAAAAAAAAAAGUGCACAAAGGGCACAAAAAGGUUUGAAUGAGUUAUGCAUUUUUAGUUUUUUGAAAUUGGUUUGAAUAUGAUUAAGAUGUAUUAGAAUUUAUUAAUAAAAGAUUUUGAAAAGAAAUCACUUGAAAAAAGUCAAGGUUUAUUGAGGAAGUAGUUCAAGUUUGAAAACAAGAAUGUUUUGAAAAAAAGAGAGAAGAUUUUGAAAAUCAAAGAAGGGGAGGAGAGGAAGAGAUUAUCCUAGAACAUAAAGUAAAAGCUAUGGAGGAAAGAUCCAACCAAGAGAUAACAACAAGAAUUCACUCCUUUGGAUUAAGCCUUAAGCAAGUCAAAUAAGCAAAGAAUAUUCCAUGUAUCAGAUGAAACCAAAGUAGCCAAGCAAAAUCUUCAAAAGAAUCUCAAAGUCAAAGGUAGCAGAUGAAUCUCAAGGUCUCAAAUCAGAAACUCCCAAAAGAUAAACAAGUAUGCCACUAGUUCUCUUAGAUGGAAAAUAAUUAUCAUCAAUACUAUGGGUAUAGAAUAAUUACAUCUCAACUAUGGAAAUGACUCAUGUCUAAACUUUGAGAAAAAGUUUUAAAAGAAAAAGUGCACAAAGGGCACAAAAUAGUUUGAAUGAGUAAUGUAUUUUUUAAGUCUUUUGAAAUUGGUUUAAAUGUGCUUAAUAUUUAUUAGCAUUUAUUAAGAAAAUAUUUUGAAAAUCACUUGACAAAAGUCAAGGUUUAUUGAGAAAGUGAUUCAAGUUUGAAAACAAGAAGGUUCUUGAAAAAAAAAGAGAAGAUUUUGAAAAUUAAAGAAGGGGAGGAGCUAAGAAGAUUAUCCUAAAACAUAAAGUAAAAGUUAGGGUGAAAAAUCUAACUAAGAGAUAGCAAGCUUUAUGACAUGUGUUAAGUAAGAACACUCUCCUUUGGAUUAAGCUUCAAGCAAGUCAAACAAGCAAAGAAAAAUCCAUGUGUCAGAUGAAACCAAAGUAACCAAGGAAAUUAUUUAAAGUAAUCCCAAAGUCAAAGGUACCAGAUGAAUCCCAAGGUCUCAAACUAUAAACUCCCAAACAAGGGUCAAAAUUCUAGUUCUAACUCCGUAACUCCAUAAUAAUCCCAAUGAUAGUAACCUCAAGUCCAUGAAUUAAGAGAACCAAUUUUUAGGGGUUUUUUCCUUUAUUAAUGUAUUUAAAAGAAAAAGAAGUCUAAAUGGACAAAGAAAAAAAGGCAUAAACAUAAACAAAGGUCCAAGUGGACAAAUAGAAAAUAGCAUAAAUACAAACAAUAUGAUAUGCGAUGCUAAAAUAAAAUCAUAAAGUUAAUAACAAGAAAUAAAUGGCAAAAAAAUAAAGAGCAUAAGAUAAAUGGCAUUAAAGUAAAUUUAAUAUAAUAAUAUGUUAGUAAGUUGUGUUAGUAAUAAAAAAUUGAAAGAUAAUUUAUCAUUUUUGGGAGAAUACUCAACUAUUCGCCCACAAGUAUGAAAAUGUGGACCUCUACAUCACCAUGAGAAAGACUCCAACUUGGAUAAAAUCAAUAAGUAUGCCACUAGUUUUAUUAGGUGAAAAGGAAACAAUAUUUUUCACACAAUACCAUGGGGAGUAGGAGACUUACAAUCUCACUUAUGAAAAUGACUUACUUUCGGAUUCAGGAUAAAUUUAACGUUAUGUUAAGCAAUCGUAAUUGGACUCAUGUUGAAGUCACAACUAUCUGAGCCCGGUCAAUAAUAAUAUUUAUGUUAAUACAUGCUAGAGAAAUUAUAUGUAAAUCAUUCUCCUAAAGAUAUGCCACACAAAAAAAGGAUGGAUCAAGCACAAAUGUUAAGAGAGUUGUUCAUUACAUCAAUCAAUACUUCAUGAUACUUAGGACAAGCUUAUGCAUCAAUCUAAAGUACCUUAAAUAUUCUAUGAUCAAUUAGGAGGUAGAUUUGAAGUGAUGAAAGUUCAUCAAGUACCAAUUCAUACAUCAUAAACAAGAUGAACACAAACCAUCCAAUUGAUCAAGAGAAAAAAGGAAGCGAAAGAGAUUAAGAAGAAGAAGAAGACGAGAGAAACCAAACUCAAAUUGGAUCAAAGGAUUGAUCAAGUCAUCAUCAAAAUCAAUCAUCCAUCUUGGUAGAUUUGGGUUUUCACCCCAUCAACACCGAAGAUCCAUUGAAUUUGAUGAGAUUUAUGAUCAAAAUAGCCAAGAUCCAAGGUCAACAGAAGUCAACAAAGGUCAAACAAGCAUAAAAUGAAAGAAAAUAAAAUAAAAUGCAUCAAAAAUAUUUUUUAAAUGAAUUUUAAAAGGCAAAUAAAACAAAAAAUUCCAUAAAACCCUUUAAAAUACCAAAUAAAUGGCCAAGAAAAUUAUGGAAGGUUGAAGAUAAAAUAAGGAACAUAAAAUAAAUUUUUCAAAUAUUUUUAAUGCAUAAAAGUAUUUUUAAACUAAUUAAAAAAAGGGGAAAAAGAGGAAAUCCAAGAAAAUAAAAUAUGGAAAAAUAAAAAUCAGAUGAAGAAAAAAAAAAGAAAAUUUUAGAAAAUAUUUUGGGAUUUUUUGGAUAAAAAAUGAAUUUUCUAUAAAUUUUUAAAGAAAAUGCAAUUUAAAAUAAAAAAUAAAAAGAAAUAAAAAACAGAAAAAAAUAGAGGCAUUGGAUCUGACCUCAUUAAUUGACGUGGCAAAUCCAACAACUAUCAGGCUAGGGCGCAUGGUGGAAAAUAGUUAGAAUAAAACAUGGAAUCACAUUCAAAAUGGACCAAUCAAAACAUUUCAAAAUGCCAACGUGGAUAGCCAACUCAGAUGGCCUGAAACAAAUCCAUUCAUCUUCUUCGGUAAUCCCUCAUCGGAGUUUCAUCAUUUGACAAAGUAAGAACAUGAGACUACCACCAAUGUGAUCGUCUCCUCAUCACGAAUUCAACCUAAUGCUCAAAAUUAAUUUAUCUAAAUUGAGUAUGGAGAAUUUCAGAGAAGUUUUAGAAACAAGCAAGUCACAAAAAGUAAAAUUAAAUGAUGAACAUUAUCACUCAACACCAGAUAAGUUAGGGGAAAGCAUAAGAGGGUGAAGGACUACAUUGUGGUAACUCGUUUGAGUUCAAAUGAUGCUCAAAACUACCUUGUCCAAAUGUAGAUCGGAGGUUGAAGAAGCUUGAUCUGGUCAGGGCACUUCAGAAGGUCUUACAGAUUGAGAAUUAUUGCAAAAUCUUCAUAGGAGACUGAAAGUUUUAAUUGAAUCAAGAAAUUGAACUGAAACAAGCUAGAAAUCAAACACGAUAGCUCAAUUUUCUAGAAAUGUUUAAUAGUGGAGCAGGGGUUUUUUAGCUCUCCAAAGCUUGGGAAUAAGGCAAAUAUAUUGCUCUAUUUAUAGGGAAGUGAUUGGUGAUCUCAUACGUGCCAAAUGAUGCUUAAUUCGUGCAAAACAAAUUUGCUCAUGAUGUGAGAAAAGUGUGACUUGUAAAACCAUCAAAACUCAGCCAAAUUAUGCAUUAAAUGAUUCAUUUAACUUUUGAAGACUUGAUUAAUCAUGUUUAGGUCCAAAACGUGUGGUAAAUUGGCUUGUAAUUAAGGAUUAGUGAAGUUCAAAAUUCUGAACAUGGUGAUUUCUUCAGUUCCAAGUUACCAUGUUUAAUUCAAUGGGGCAUCUUGCCUAGGAGGCUUUUUGAUCUCAUUUUUCUUGCAAUUUUUGGACAUCAUAUCAAAGAUUACAAUGUGCCAAGAAAGGUUGCAUUUGGAUGCUUGAGCAGAAGUUUAUGGCAUGUUAAAGUUGGCACAAAAAUUUGGUUAUGCAACUUGGAAAAUUCUAAGUCCCAGAUGGCUAAAAAUGACCCAUAAUGUCUCAAAGAAUUCCAUGGUCUUCCAAGCAUAAUUUGACUUUGAUCCUUGAAGAAAACUUGUAGAGGGCAUCACAAAUGAUAUUAUUCAAAAAGAAUCAGCGUCAAAUGUUGGAAAUUGAAGAAGUUAUAAUCCUUGAAAGUUGAGAAAAAGUCACUUGAAAAUAGGUCAAAUUUCACUAGGUCCACAAAUGACCUAUAAUGUCUUCAAACUUUUGAUGAUCCUCCAUGCAUAAUUGGAUCUUGUAAUGUAAAGAGAAGUUAUAGAGGAUAUUUAGAAGAGUCAUAUGCAAAAAGAAACAUUCAAAAAUAUUGAGGAUUGAAGGAAUUGUGAACCUUGGAACUUUGACUUCAAAUGUUGAAUUUUUGGUCAAACCUCUUGGAAUAAACUUGUGUACUUGGACUUUUAUUGCAUUUCAAGGUACAUGGAUGAUCAUAUGAACUAAAAAUAAGGUGUCCUUAAAUUUAUUUUUAUUAAAUUUCUUAAAGUUUGAGGUAACAUAUUGAAGAAGGCAUGGAAAUAAACACAUGAACCUUUGCCUUUUCUUGAGACCGAUUAUCCACUUUUGUGUAACCGAUUACAAGCGCAAUAUUUUGAUUUUUCCUGCUAUUUUACUUGGUCAAUUCAGUUCCCAAUUGUGUUGUAUCUCUUGUAUAAGUGUUUAGAAUGCACACUCAUCUAAGGUUAAUGCAAUAAUAAUCUCUCACCCUUAAUUCUCCUCUUUCACACUCUACAUCCAAAGUAUCUCCACCAUUGUUCAUCAAACUUGUUGUGUCUUGUUCCAACAUUUGACAUCAAGAGUCUGGUUCAGAUCCACAAACACCUAGUGUGCAACAUGAAUUAUGUUUCCAAUGAAAGAAUCCCUGCAAACCUACAUAUCCUUGAUGCGAAGAAUUAUGAUAAAUGGUGCAAGAAAAUGAAGAUGUUGUUUGGCUACCAAAAUGUUCUUAAAGUAAUCAAGAAUGGUGUUAGCCCUCUUGUUCAAAAUGCAACAGAGGUGCAAAAAGAAACACAUAAGAAAGAGAAGAAGAAAUACUUCAAAGUGUUAUUCUUGAUCCAUCAAUGUGUUGAUGGCGACAAUUUUAAGAAAGUUGGUGAUUGCGAAUCGUCAAAGCAAGUGUGAGAGAUCUUAGAAAAGACAUGUGGAUGGGUUGACAAGGAAAAGGUGGCGAGGUUACAAACUUACAAACACCAGUUUGAAUUGAUUCAAAUGGAGGAAAAGGAGACAAUAAACUAUUUUGCAAUGAGAAUCACCCGGUUGGUGAAUCAAGUGAAGGCAUGCAAAGAAACUGUUACAAAGCAGUAUGUUGUCGCUAAAUCUUGCAUUCUUUAACACUAAGAUUUGACAAUAUAGUUGUGGCGAUUGAGGAGUCAAAGGAUCUCACGAUGAUGAGUAAAGAGAAGCUGCAAAGUUCUCUCGAGGCUCAUGAUAAAAGGAUGGAAGAGAGGAAUAACGUUAAGGCAAAGGCGGAGAUCGCUUUGCAAGCUCGUUUCAAUGAGAAGGACAAGAGAUCGAAAGGAAAAUGGCCCAAGAAAAGAAAAGGGAAUUUUCAUAAUUUUGGUGGAAGAGAGUCCUAAAAUUCAAAUAAUUUUACUUGUCAAAGGGGUGAGAGCAUCUUCAACAAACAUGGUGGUCAAGGCAACUUUAGAGGUAGAAGGAAGAGGUUUGACAAGAGCAAGGAGUAGUGCUAUAAGUAUCAAUGGUUUGGCCAGUUUGCAAAAGAAUGCAAUUUGAACAAGAAGGAAUCUCAAGGGGAUGAAGCCAAGGUUGCAAGAUAAGAGUUUGAUAAAGAGAAUACAUUUUUGGUCAUGAUCAAAGAAGGGAAUUGUAGCAGCAAACAACUGCGGGACAACAACUACAACAACUCAACGAAUGCUGAAUAGGUUGGUUGAAUGAUACGAUUAACCAAUUGCAUGAAGAGGAAGACGCCAUGAUGAGUUUGAAAGGAGUUCAAUGCAGUGAGGAGUGGUAUUUGGACUUGGUUUGUUCAACUCAUAUAACGGGAAUAAAGGAUUGGUGUGCCAAAAUCAAUUGUGCCAUGAAGAACAAAGUAAAGUUCGCGGAUGACACCACUCUAAUAUUCAAUGGGAUCAGUGAUGUUUUAAUCAUGAGAAGGGAUAAUGGACAUUCCUUGACCAUAAAUUCUUGUACAUUUAGGGAAUCAAAUGUAACCUUCUGAGUAUUGGCCAAUUUCUUGAGAAGGGUUAUAAGAUUCACAUGGAAGACAAGGGGUUGCGGGUUAUGGAUGUAAGAUGAGUCUUGGUCCUUAAAGCGCAUAUGGAUGCCAAUAAAACCUUUAAGGUUGAGUUGAAGGUUAUAGAGCAUAAAUAUCUUGCUACUGUAACAAGUAGACAAUAUUGGAUUUGGCACUAUCGUCUUAGGUAUCUCAACUUUAGAGAUUUCAAAGACUUUCAAAAGAACAGAAUGGUAACGGGGCUGCCAUCGAUCAACAUACUAGCUGAAAUUUAUGAAGAAUGUAUGCAAGCGAAGCAACAUAUGGGAAAAUUAAGAAAGUAGAUUCUAUUGGUGGCAAUAUGUAUUUUUUCACAUUUAUCGAUGAUCAUAGUACGAAGCUAUGGACAUACCUAAUCAAGAGAAAUGACGAUGUAUUUGAUGAUUGUUUGUCAUUGCAUAUAUUUAAUCGAAGAAUCAAAGAAAAAUAAGUGAAAUUUGAGAUAAAAUGAAGAAGAAUGAGGAAAAAAUAGCUAAGUGUGAAAAUUGUGGACUUAUUGAAAAUUUGAGUGAAAAGGGGAGCAAAACCGUGCAACCACGGGAAUAAUCACGCGCACCAUCACAUAGCAUCGUGCACGCGAUGGGGUCUUUAAAGCAGCAUUACACGCGCGAUACAAGGAAUCACGCGCGUGAUAAGUACUUUUUAUGGGCUUUUUAGACACGUUCUAGUCCAUUCUAACGCCUUUAAAAGAGGAUUUUCUGCACUUUCACAAGGGUUACAAAAUUGGGAGAUCUAGGCACGAUUUUGAGAGCACAAGUGGUGAUUUUUAUAGCAUUGGAAGCUAUUGGAGGCCAUUACUUCAACGUAUUUCACAUGUUAUUUUCAUCUAUCAAUUAUGGCAUUUUUAAUUGCAUUAUGAGUAGCUAAGCUCUUUUAUAUUAGGUUGUGUUAUGAUGAACCUAUUUCUAUAUUGUUGGAAUCUAUGUUGAUUUAACCAUUCUAAGAACCGUUUGAACUAUAAUUCCAUUCAAUUGCUUUUUGUUCAUAAUUCCUUUUAUGUGAGAUACUCUUUUAAUCUGAUUUUGGGCACAUAGGGAAUAUUGACUAUUAGUCUAUGUGUUGGACCUAGGGAAAUUGUUGUACUUACGCUGGUUGAAUAGGAAUAGGAGACCCUGAGUAGUGGCAUAGAGAAUUAAUGUUUUAUACAUCACCUAACCUUGCUUACGCUGGCAGACUAGGGAUAGAAAGCUCUGAGUAGUGGUUAGUGAGUUAUUUCGCGAGGGAUCAGCUAUAACGGUUUUGUUAAUUCGAUGUGGUGUUAUAGUGAUAAGACCAUUCGUAAAAGAUAUAAAACAUCAACAAUAGAGGAAUAGGGGAUUCUAGAACACAAUAUGCUCGUUUUCGUGAUAUUGUUUAAUUGUUUAUUUACUUUUCGCACUGAAACUCGAAAACCCCCCUUUUUACUAGUUUUCUAUAAAUUGCACACAUUUUGUCUUGCCUGAAGGAAAUUCAUGUGGAUUCGAUCUUUUUAUUACUUCGACAAUAUCAAUACACUUAUCGAGAAAUCAUUAAGUUUUUGGCGUCGUUGCCAGGGACUGUUGAUUUUUCAACAAGGCGAUGUUUGUGCAAUUUUUAUUUUUAUUUUUUUAGUCUUUUAGUUUUUUUUUUCUUUUUCUUGUUUAUCAUAGUGCUAUUGAGGUAUUUUUUGUUUGUGUAUGCACAAUUUAGGAUCAACAUUAAUACCAUUGGUUCUAGAAAUUGAAAGAACUACACGUGCUCUCAGAAAAGCAGUUAGAGAAGCAGCUCUGAAAGGAGGAAUACUAGAAGAAGAGCAACUAUCAAAUUCUUCUGACUCUGAAGAAGAAGCUGUAAUGGAAGCUGCACAACCCCUAACUAUGGGGCAUUAUUAUAAAUUAACCGAUGAAGGACACUUAUCAAGAGGGUUUGUGCUGGUAGACCCUGCUAACUUUGAUAUUAAAAAUUAUGUGCUUUAAGGUUUGAGAGAAAAUUCGUUUGAUGGGAACACGAUUAGAGACCCAUGGGUGCAUCUUACACACUUUUAUGAAAUAACUUAAAUGUGCAAACCAACUGAUGCCACUGAAGAGCAGGUUAAAUUGAGGUUGUUUGGGUUCUCACUAAUUGGAAGGGAGAAAGAUUGGUUACUUUGCCUUCCGAAUAAAACGAUACAUACUUGGAAGGAAUUAAAGGAUAAAUUCCUCGAAAUAUUUUUCAUUACUACUCAGUUUACCGAGCGCUAAGCAGAAAUUGUGAAUUUUGUGCAGCAGGAAACUGAGUCACUUUAUGACUCUUGAGAAAGAUUCAAAUUUUUGUUACGCAGAUGCCUGAAUCACAACAUGAAUAAUAUGGUGCAGAUGUAAAACUUCAUUAAAGGUCUCAAGAGUCAAACUCACAUGUUAUUGGAUGCUUCUACGAGAGGUACUAUCUGAAAAAUGAAUGAACCACGGGUAAAAGAUCUCAUUAAGAAGAUGUGUAUGAAGGAGUACCGAUCCAAGAAUGAAAGGUCGGUCAAGAUGGGAAUUGUGGGCACGCCUAAAGGUAUGUUACCUAUUGAUACCCACACUGCUCUUUUAGCUCAGAUUGAAUUAUUAAAUAAAAAUCUAGUUGGAAGCAGCUUAGUUAAAGCUAAUGUAGGCUAGGUACAAGCACUUGGGUGCGAUUUAUGUAGAAGAGAACAUGCGAAUGAAAGGUGUUCAUUGGAAGAGACAAGUGAGGAGGUCCAAUUUGCUAAUUUUUUAAAAAAUAACUUGUAUUCAAACACAUACAAUCUGGGUUGAAAAGACCAUCCAAAAUUCCGUUGGAAUAAUAAUCAAAAUUCAAAUGCUAACUAAGGGAUGCAACAAAGUCAACAAGCUCUGUUUCAAAGGAAUCCCAUCACAGUUGGUAGAGACCUCACAAAAUUUCAUUAAGGUCACUCAAAGUAGAUUUGAUAGGGUAAAGAAGACCCAUGAAUAAAUGAGUAGAAACUAGGAUGCGUCUAUCAAAAUUUUGGAGAUGAAGAUUGGUUAAUUAUCUAGAAAAGUAGCUACUUUGUCAAGCUCAAGUGGAGGAUUCACCAGUAACACCGUUGAUAACCAUAAGAAUGAUAACCCUAAAUAUAGGUUUAAGGGCAAUUACUGAAAAGGAUAAGGAUGAGAUAGUUAAACAAUGUGUGGUUAAGGCAUAUGAGGGUACCUGUAGCACCUCAAAUUUGCACCCCCCAUUCAUGCAUUCAUUUCAUUUUUUAGGUCAUUUAUCAUUCCAUAUUGCAUUGCAUUUUGGCAGUCAGCAUUGGCAUCAAGAGAUUCAUCAGUACAAAAGAGAAAGUUUUUUCUUGAGAUGAAGGCCAAAUGAUUAUACUAAAGAGCUUAUAUGAGCCCAGGUUCAUUUUGAAGCAAAGUUACCAAGUGGUAGAGGCCCAAACUCAUCAGUGCACUUCCAGGUCAUCUGAGGCCCAUACAAGUCAACUAUGCAGUCAACUAAGGGCUUUGAGUUGGGGAAAUGGUUUGAGACACUUCAUUCAUGUCCAAAAGAGGCUUUUUCAUCAUGUCAAACAUCUACCUUGAAGAUUUUGAAGUCAAAUCAAAAGUUUCCAAAAAUGGAAAGUGACCUGUAAUUCAAAGUUUCCAAAAAUGGCAAGUUUUUAGACCACAUUCAACUUGACUUUCCAACAUCAAAUAAGCUUCAAAUGAAUUUUUGGUCAACAUGAAAGUUGAAGAUAUUUCUCUCCUAUUUCCAAAAAGUCCAAGAGUAUGAGUAUCUGAUGAAUGGUUGAGAAGUUAUGAACAAAUGAUUGCAAAGUAUGCAUGGAACUUCAAAGUGCCAUAACUUUUGAUCCAAAACUCCAAAUUGAGCCACUCUUUUUGCAAAAUGCUUGUAUUGACCAAUAUUUUCCAAAUCAAACAUUGCAUUGCAUGAAAUUAACUCACAUGAUCAUUUGUCCAUGCAUGUAUAUUUUGGAGGGAAAAUGGAUAAUUCAAAUUCUAUUGAUCAUACAUGAAAAAUUCCUAUGCCAUUGUGAUCUUUGGAUGAUUUUAAGUGACUUUUAACCAUGCAUGUGCACUGUUCACGUGUAAAAUCUCCAUGCACCACACAUUUACCAUUUUUGCAUUACACCUCAUUUCUCAUUAAGUUUCCAUUAGCCAAGCCUAAUUGUGAUUAGCAUGAUAAUUAACAUGUGAUAUAAAUAGAUAAUCCUAACUGAAUUGGAUGAGAUUACACAUUCUAGAUCUAGAAAUUGGAUUUCCCUCCAAAAAUUCUCUCAAUUCAAACAUCAAAUUUCUACACAUAACUCAUGAAUUUUCUUGCAUAAUUGUGUUCAUCUUGCAUCAUUGAGUAAGAAUCAAGGCCUGGACUGAAGGAUUUGGUGCAGAGUCGAGCUCCACGAAUGCAUGAAAAUGAAGAAGGUUUUCUGAAUUUGAGCUUCAUUUAGGUAGUUUCAAUUGCUAUUCCUUCCAUAAAGCUUCACCUCAAGGUUGAUAGAGGAGACCUGGAGCUGGAGGAGGCUUGAAUCCACGAAAUCAUCGCACUGUUCUUCAAGAAGGUUAAAAUUUGAAUCUCAUUAUUUGCCAUUUUAUGCACAUGAUCUUGUAGGUCGUGCUCCACUGAUGAUUCUGAUAUGAAUAUUAUUGAUUUUGGCUGGAUAUUGAGUGAGUUAUGAUGAAUUAAAGUUUGUAUGCUAAAUUUGUUCUUGCUCGAUCCAUGAGAUAUGUGAUGAUUUAGAGUGAAUUAGGCAUGGAUUUGGAAUGUACGUUAUGCAAGCUUUCGAUCCAUAUCAUUUUUGCAUGAUUCUAGAAUUUUUUUGAUGCACCUUCAUCGGCGUACCACCGGAGAAGAUGACCGAAAGUACUAUUCCGGUCAUCUGGUUCAUGAGCUAGGGUUUUAAUGUGCGCACCUGUAACCAUGCAAGCCCCAGUUCGAUCCUUGGCAACUGUUAUUUUAAAAUCCAUUUAUUUUCUCCCUAUGAUCCAAACGUUGCGUUUUGCUCUAGCGCCCUUGUGAACAAGCCUUGCCUCUGUUCGAUUCUUGGCCUGGCAAUUAUCCCAAUUGAUUUUAUUGAGCGCGCCUAUGACCCUAUAGUCCUCAGUUCGAUUCAGGCGCUUUGCAUUUUUUCUUUUAUUUUCAAUUGAAGCGCUGCCUUGGACCUUUGUGUCCUGAGUUCAAUCCCUGACCAAGUAUUUUUCAUCUUUUAAUUCACAUUUCAUUUUUUCACAUGAUUGUUGUGAUGUCUAUUAUUUUUUGAUGUGAUUUUCCUAAUUUUUGUAUUUCUGGAAUUUUAAAUGUGUUUGUGUGAUUGAACAUGAUGCAAAUAUGACAUGUUAUGCUAAAUGUUUUAUGAAAUGCUCAUAUUUUAUCCAAUUGCCUUGAAAUUUGACAUGCUUGAUCUAUACAUGUGACAUGAUUUUUGAGCUUUUGUUUGGCAUUUUUAGCACAUUCCAUCACUGUUUGGGACACAUGAACAUAUGAUGUAGCAUUUGGUGUCACAUUCUUGACCUUGCUUGUGUUCAUUUUCAUUUGCAUGUCAUUUGAUAUCUUCUGGACCUAAUUCUUUGCAUGAUGCUUGUGUUUAAAAUUUUGAUCUCACAUAAAAAAUUUCAUGAUCAUUGGAUGCAUUUCUGUUUUAAUGUGGAUUUUCUACCUUUUUCUUGCCUUGUGUAGAUGAUGAAUAAGCACCACUGUUGAUUGACUGUUUGGUUUGUCUGAAUGUGAUAUUGACUGUUUGACUUUUGUACAGGUACAUUAGUCGCUUUUAGCUCUCGCUUGAGCUUUGCUUUGGUUGUGGUUGAUAUACCACCUAGGUAAUCACUCUAACUCCAUGUAGUCUGGAAGCCCUGUCGUUUCUUUUGGCAUGCAUUUGGUUGAAGUCCUCCUUAAGAGGCAAUGACUGUGUUUAUUUAUAUUUAUGCCAAAGACCUCCUUGUCGAGGCAUGUUACUUGUUAAGUCCUCCUAAGUGAAGAGGCAAUUGACAGAUGGAAAGGAUUAGCAAUCAAUCCCCUGUUAUUCGUUGAAUCGUUCAUUAUGCUCGCACUAUAUGCUGAUGCUCUUGAACCUAACCCAAGAUCCUUGUAUAUAGAGUCAGUCAAGUGGAAUAGGGUCCCUCUUUCUGGAUCCCCAGGUUUUCAUUGAUUUGAGCUCACCCAGGCCAGGGUUAAGAGCAUGAGGUCUUAUCCUCAUUACCUUUCAUCAGCUUCACCCUAACUCUCAAUGUUAGUGGUUAAGAGCUUCAGCACACCCCUACAGUUUUGGCUUGUUUGUCGAGGUUGAUAUGACCCCUUGACUAAAGCCUUACCCUCAGAUGUUUGAGCCCCUUGUUGGCGUGUUUACUUCAUGUAUAUGUUUUUGUGUGGUGUGAUUGUAUCCCCAUAGGAUUGCUAGACUUCGUAUAGUCUCUCGUUUGCAUGUCAAUUAAGGUAGCAUGGUUCCUUCGUCUAGGACUUCCUUUCUUGCGUGAGCAUUCCUAAAACACAAACAAACUUUAUCUUCUCUUAAGGACACGUUGACUCCUUCUACUACAGGUGAGUAAGUCUCCAAAGGUCGAGCAUCCAUCUAGGACUUCCUUUCUUGCGUGAGCAUUCCUAAAACACAAACAAACUUUAUCUUCUCUUAAGGACACGUUGACUCCUUCUACUACAGGUGAGUAAGUCUCCAAAGGUCGAGCAUCCGGUAGAUUGCAUAGUAACGUUGUUCACCUAAAAAACACAACAAACAGAAAUAGUUUAGCCGAACUACGACAACUCUGAUUCUCAUGUUCAGAUGAGAUACGUAGGCAUGAGAUGCGAUGUCUUGUCGAGUUUGACUGACGACUAACAUUAAUCCUUGCUAGUUUUCAUCCUCGUUGCGAUUCUUUUCUCUCGCCCUCGUUGCGAUUGAGACCUUCCUUUUCUCUUGCCCUAGUUGCAAUCGAGACCCUUCUUCUUUUCGUGUGUGUUUGUUAGGAGUCGGAUAUAAGUCCAUCUAUUGGCAUUCUGUUUCCUGUUUGCGUGUGUGUUUGUUAGGAGUUGGAUGUAAGUCCAUUUAUUGGCAUUCUGUUUCCUUGUGUGUUUGUUCGGAGUCGGAUGUAAGUCCAUCUAUUGGCACUCUGUUUCCUGUUUGUAUUUCCUUGUUAGGAGUUGGAUGUAAGUCCAUUUAUUGGCAUUCCGUUUCCUUUGAGUGUUCUUUUGACGUCUCAGCGUCUCUUUUCAGUGUUUUGUUUCGGCGUGCGUUAGCCGAGCUACGAGUGCUCUGAUUCUUCCUCUGGUUAGAGAAGAUACGUAUGCAUAGGAUGCGAUGUCCUAGCGAGCACGUCUCCCAUUUCCCCGAACUACGUCGACUCUGAUGUUUGUUUCUGACAAACUACGUAGGCCCAGGAUGCGACAUCCUGCCGAGUCUGCUUUCUCCGUCUCCUCUUCCGCCUGUUUAUUAUUCCAUUGCGUGCAGUCUUUGAGCAGUUUUAUUAGCAACCUUAUUCUUUCCUUCUGAGCGUGGAUCCCAUCGAGUACGACGGACGUGAGGGGUGCUAAUACCUUCCCCUUGCGUAACCGACUCCCGUACCUAGCAAUCUUUGUUCGUAAGACCAUUCCUUUCCCUUUUUCAGGUUUACUUCGAGGGUUUCCUUUCCCUCCUUUGGGAUAAAUAACGCACGGUGGCGGCUCUGUGUCUUUUCCCGCCGGUUGUUUUUCGCGAUGCGACAGUACCAAUCAAGGUGACCAAGAGGAAAGAGGAGUCACCAUUGAUCAACUUAUAGACAAAAAUUCUCCUUGGAGGAGAACAAAGAGGCAUAUCUUGACUGAACCAAAUCCUCCUUUACCAGAUUACGUAAAACCACCGUAGCCGAUAAUUAAAAAGAAAUUGGUUCAAGAUGAUGAAGCGGGAAUGUUUGCAAAGUUCAAGGAAGUUCUAGCUACUCUCCAGGAAAGUAUUUCAUUCCAUGAAAUUUUAGAACUAAUGCCUAAGUUUGUUAAAUUUAUGAAGGCGUUUCUAAAUGGGACGGAAGAGAAAUGAAUCAAGGAACAUGUAAACAUGACCGAAAAUGAUGAUAUGGUAAAACCUCAAUCCUUACAACCUAAACUAAAAGACUCAGGUAAGUUUAUUAUUUCUUGUAAUAUCAGUGGAUUCAAUAUUCUGCAUGCUCUAUGUGAUCUGGGGUUUAACAUAAAUGUCAUGCCACUGAAAACUGUCAAAGAAUUAAAAAUGGGUGAGAUCACACUGAAUAACAUGACUCUCACUCUAGUUGAAUCGUCUAUUACUCAAUCGAUUGUUACUUUACGCAACAUAUUAGUAUCUGUGGACGACUUAUUGUUUCCUAUAGAUGUUGUAGUGCAUGAUACAAAAGGAGAUUAAGGAGGAUCUGUUAUUCUUGGACGUCCAUUCUUGGCAACCGAGAAAGCAAAGAUUGAUGUGGACACUGGUCAACUUAUCUUGAAGUCAAAUAAAAGGAAUGUGGUUUUCAAGGUAUUUGACUGGGCAUCUUAUGUGGAUAAUUUGGAUACUUUAUACCAUCCGGAGGAAAAAGGUAGAAAAGUAGACAAAGGAACAAUGAGAAAGGAAGUGACAGGCGUGAGGGUAUCCCUUGCACCUGACGUACCUUAGACAUGGAUUGUCAAGCUAGUUACGUAAAAAAAGCGUCUGAUGGGAGGCAACCCAUCCGUAAGAAAUUAUUUUUAUGUCAUAGUGAAUUUUUAUUUUUCUAACCUUGUUAAUUUUUGUGUUAUGUUGUUCGAAGAGAAAAUAGGUAAAAGAAGAAAAGAAAGAAAAAGAAAAAGGGAAGAAAAUAGAAAAAGAAAAGAGAUAGGAAAGUUUCAGCCCCUGGAAUCAUCACGCAUGAUAAUAUAAACUAGUUAUUUACAAUAAAUUUUUUUGAUAUUUAUUUAAAGAAGCACAAUUAAUAUAAAGACAAUAACACACCAAUCACACAUAAUAAUUUUAGAAUAAUUAUACUCUAAGAUUUUGAGAGUCGUGAUAUCUCCUCUUCUUAAAUGUUUAAGAAUUGGAUCUCUCUCACUAAUCUCUAUCCCCUUAUUUAUUUUAAGAAUAAACAUAUUGAAUUAAUAAAACAUAAUUGCACAUUUCUUAUAGCGAUUAUACAAACAACUAUCAAAGUUGAAAAAACUAAAGAGAGGUCAACUCAAUCUUUAUCAAAUUAAAUUAAAGUUUAUUUUAAAACACAAACAACUAGUUCAUUAAAAAGAUAACUUGUUUAGUACACAAAUGAGAUCUUACUUAAUACAUAGAAAUAAGAUCUUACAAAACAUAGAUAUUAAAAACAUAGGAACAACAUGAAAAGUUUUCAAAAUGACAUAGACAUUGAUUAACAAAGACAUGAAUUAGUUUCGGGUAUUUUUUAACCAUCCAUCAAGGUAAACUUGUUUGGAGUCAGGGGUGAAUUUUUCUUUCUCGGCUCGGAUAUCUUUCAACCAUCCAUCAAGGUAAACCUGAUUGUUGUCUGAGGUGGAUUUUGUUGUCUCGGCUCGGAUAUCUUUCAACCAUCCAUCAAGGUAAACUUGGUUGGAGUCAGAGGGCAAUUUUAUUUUUUCAGCUCGAGUGUCUUUCAACCAACCAUCAAGAUAAACUUGUUUGGAAUCAGAGGUGGAUUUUGUUUUCUCUGCUCGGGUAUCUUUCAACCAUCCAUCAAGGUAUACUUGGUUGGAGUCAGGGGUGGAUUUUGUUCUCUCAUUUCGAGUAUCUUUCAACCAUCCAUCAAGGUAAACUUGGUUGGAGUCAGACAUGGUUUCUGUUUGCUUAGCUCGAGUAUUUUUUAACCAUCCAUCAAGGUAAACUUGGUUGGAGUCAGGGGUAGAUUUUUCUUUCUCAGCUCGGGUAUCUUUUAACCAUCCAUCAAGGUAAACUUGUUUGGAGUCAGAGGUGGGUUUUGUUUUCUCUGCUCGGGUAUCUUUCAACCAUCCAUCAAGGUAAACUUGAUUGGAGUUAGGCAUGGACUUUUCUUUCUCGGCUCUGGUAUCUUUCAACCAUCCAUCAAGGUAAACUUGGUUGGAUUCAGAGGUGGAUUUUGCUUUCUUUGCUCUGGUAUCUUUCAACCAUCCAUCAAGGUAAACUUGGUUGGAGUUAGGUAUUGACUUUUCUUUCUCAGCUCUGAUAUCUUUCAACCAUCCAUCAAGAUAAACUUGGUUGGUGUCACCUGUAGAUUUUGCUUUCUCAUCUCGAGUAUCUUUCAACCAUCCAUCAAGAUAAACUUGGUUGGAUUCAGAGGUGUCUUUUGCUUUCUUUGCUCUGGUAUCUUUCAACCAUCCAUCAAGAUAAACUUGAUCAGAGUCUUGGGAGGAUUUGGUUUUCUCUGCUCGUGUAUCUUUCAACCAUCCAUCAAGAUAAACUUGGUUAGAAUUAGCAAUUUGUUUUUGACUCUUCAAUGGAUUUUUGAGCCAACCAUCAAGGUAAGGUUGAUCAGCUUGUAUUUCUUCUACAUUCUCUUGCUGAAGUUUGAUAUAUCGGGCAAAGCUUCCUUGUCCAUUCUACGAUACAAUUGAAUAAAUGGAUAUUAGUGAGUUAUUUUUGGAUGGUAUAUAUGACUAUAAAAACAAAAUUAUGUGUUUUAUG
rnacentral:lncRNA from 1 species